rnacentral:lncRNA from 1 species
GUGGGGUCACUCGUCAGGCUGCCCACCGUCCGCUGUUACUACCGCUGCCACUGUUAUUACCACUACUGUCACCGUCGGCGCCACUGUUCCAACUACGUACUAGGCCUGCUCCACUAAUUUUUGCUUGGACCCUGUGAGCUGCAUCUGAUCCGCAGCACACCUUUGCUACCUUCCUUCCCAUGAUAUUAUUAUCUUGUUACCAUGCUCUCUAAAUCGUCACUAGGUUGAUACUGUUGCUUUGCAAUGGAUACUUUUGAUGUGUGCUAUAUAGUUGUGCCCAUGAUUAUGAGUCAAUCUUGAAGCCUGGUUGUUUGCUGUCGUUGUGUAAUCUUGUGGCUGAGCGUUUUGUUGGUUUGGAGUGGUUUAGGGAUCCACAUUUCACCAUGUGAAGCCCUCCUUCCUGAAUUUAUCAGAUUGUUUGGAUGGUGCUGUUUCAUUCUAAUCACAGUUUUACUUGUUCCAAGAAAGAGGGUCUUGUGACACGCAUUGCCCUGCAAGGUGCUAAAUCCAAAAUCAAAUGUGAUCACACGUUUACACUGGGCAAUUGUUGUAGUGUGCUGCCUGCUAGAUCCCCCAAAACUGUUGAUACUUUGUUAGGAUCUGCUAGAUGAAACAGUAGACCUACUAGGAGUGUAUCUGAAACAAUGCCCACUAUGAAAACACCAUCACAAUUGUUCAUGGAUGUACCCUAGGAGACUGAGCAAUUUCACCCUUUUGCAAUCUCAAAUUUGUAAAAUCAGAUUACACAUAGGAUGCAAUAUGAAACAACCGUUGGGACAUGGGAUAUUGGGAUUUCACACAAAAGACUAGUACAAUAUCAGCAGCACUCUACUCUUCUCGAAAAAGAAAAAGAAUAACACUCUACUCAAGCAAGGCCAUGAUGCAACAAGGAGAAGACACCAAUGCCAGCUAAAGAAAAGGAGCAAAAGCUGUGGAAGGCUCUUCUUUUGCGGCAGCUGACAAACAGUAGGCUGCCCAUACGGCAAUGCUACAUUAGUACUAGUAGUGCUCACACAAAUCUAAGCAAUCUUCUGUUAUUUUUUCGCCUGGAAUCCUGGACCCACGAAUCACAGUGGCGAACAAAGCUUCAUGAUCAAACAGUUCCUAGCUUGCGAUGCAUGCAAAGAAUCUUGAGAACAAUCUUUAGAUUUCCCCUUCCUUUUCUCUUUUUUUGGGUAUCUAAUCUUGCAUAACCGAUACACAAAGUGCCUCCAAAGGCAAUGGAAUUCUUGUCUAGAGACAUCAGCUUACCUAGAGUGGGUUUGAUUAUAUACUCACAAUAUAUGUACAAAAAGAUGUGCUUGGCUCGGUCUAGGUGACUUCAAAUUUCAUCUGGUUUGUUCCUUUUCCUUUCACUGUCAUCUAUUAUCCCUUCUGAAGACACAACACUAGCUCACAGCACCGUCGGUUCCACGGUUUGGCCUGAUGGCGAGAAGAUGUCCGCCGGUGCAUUGGUGAACCUGAAACCGUCCAGGCUACCGAACUUCGUUUGCGCAUCGUGUUUGUGACUAUCAAGGUAGAGCACCACAACUGUGAUAUCGUCAUGGAAAUGCCGCUUCAUCCCUCUUUCGAUGUGUUGCAUGUCGACGUACCUCAUCUCUUUUUUCCUCGCGGCUUCAGAGAUCGCCGCUCUCACCAGUCGCCUCGCUAUUCCCUGAGCACAUGCAUAUUCCACACAACAACACAUCAUAUUCUGCAUAAAUGGAACAGCGUAUAGGUGUUCCCCGUGACGAGGUUAAAUGAGCUUGGCUUACCGCUCUCGGGUUCUUAAAGACGAUCUCGACCGCCGCUCUGUCGGUCAACUGCUCCCACAGACCGUCCGAUGCAAAAAUUACAAAGAGGUCUUGCUGCCCUAUCUGGUGUACUUUGAUCGAUGGCACGGCUGUUAUGACGGCCCGCUUCAACGGUACAGGACACACAUAUUGCUGGAAUAUAGGGUCUCUGGCAAAUUCAGGCUUCUUCAGGUAGGCAUCCCCAAAUGAUCUGGAAACCUGAAAGCAUCAAAGAAAUAAUAAUGUCUAGUGUGGCUCAUGACUGCCAUUGUAAAAGCAGGUUUCUCCUGUUGAACUGCCUUUAUAGUUUUAAGGAACAUUACAAAGCAUGGUGAUGAUAACUAAUGCAGGCAACCGGUGGCAUCUUUUCUUAGAUCAUGUAGUAUUCGCCUAGAUGAGAUCGACUAACUGUAGGCUUUAGAAAAAUACAAAAAGGGGACAAUGGCUUUAGCAUAUGGGCUUGCCACACUGCGCAAGCAAUUCAAGUUGCUGACUUUUUGGAACAGAAGAAUAUAUUCCUAUGGUGGUAUUAGAUCGAGGAGUGCUUUGCAAAAGAACAUUGGAAUCUAUGUUAUGACAUCGAGAACAGACGUGUCCAGGUAUGACGUAUACUGAACAUGAAACCAAGGCAACGUCCGAUUAGAAUUAGACUGUUGCCUUUAUCUGAGUAAAUAAUUUAGGGCAUCAUGACAUAGAGCUAGUACAUGGGAUAUCAGUAUGUAACUUUGCUAGAACAUUUGAUUGCUUAUCAAUUUCAGGAUGGAGUUUAAUGUUUUCAUCAAGUGAGGUUCAUGAAGAGUAGUAAAAUCCCACCAAAAUCUAAACUGAAUGAGGCAUGCGCUCAUGGACUCGGCGUUCUAGAUUUUCCAGAAUAACAUCGGACUUCACUUGCAUUAUCUGCAAACACUCUUGAAUUACAAGAGACUAGGACCAGGUCACCUAUGCUGAGAUGUAAUUCUGUUUUGCAGUACGCCAUUUAUCUGUCUUACGGGCAUGCUAUGAUUGUUCCUGACAUGUUAAUUAACUAUUAACAAAUUUUGGAGACCACCUUGCCUACUAGAUUUUCUAAUAGCAGCCAACUGUCACAUAAUGUUUGUAAAACAUGAUUGCAAAUAGAAUGCCAUGCACGGAUGCACCUGAAAAGGAUCCAAACUAACAUGAUUUGCUGAUUCGUACCUGAAUGAUGCCCUUAAUCCGCCAAACGCCCCUGCUGUAGACGACUAUGUGCGAAUCAUCAAGAUGCUGCUGAAUGACCUCCUUUCUUACCGCCUCGUCAGCAACAUUGUGAUCAUUAGACAGCCUCUCGGCCACUACUCCCCGGCCAUUUGGUCCUCUAUGACCAAGGACAGCUCUGGAGUCGCCUAAAUUGGCGACAUAAAGUUUAUUAUUGGCAAUUGCUCCAACAAGGCAGCAUGAGCCGACUGAGGCGAUCUUUGGCUGUUUGAGCCAUGUCCCCUUGACUAGGUGCAAGAACUCCUCUUCUGUAGCAUGGAAUGCCUUCUUGAUUGCGUCUGUCGACAUGCCUCCUUGCUCUGAUGCAAACUCUACAAUGGUUCAGAGCACAAGACUGUCAUUUAGUUAUCCAAAUAUGUAAACUCGGUUUAAUUAGAGAACAUCUUCAGAAAAAAUGUGUAAACGACAUAACAGGUUGAUCAGUAGAGAUAACAUCAUCCAUCGUUAAUUUGGGGCAAUAAAAAUGGAACAGAAGAGAAUUGGCUACCGAAGCAUGCGAAAUGAACAAUGACAGUAGAAUUAUAGAAAGAAACCAGCAUGACAUCUGGUUCAAACUCACUGCUCUGCUUACUUUGAGAAACAUGUGUAAAACUAAUACUACAUCAAGAAUCUACUGCUGUAGUUAUGUAGUCCAUUUCAGCAAAUUACAUACAGGAAGUCUAAGCUAAAUCUAAAAAGAAAAGCGUUCGUAAAUGGAGUUUAUACAGCGGCGCACUCACUGUGGAGGUUCGGGAAGAGGCGGGAGGCGAGGAAGCGCGAGGCCUCGGGCCCGCCGUGGCCGUCGUACACCCCGACGAAGGUGGACGCCGGCGAGGUCGCCACCUGGCCCUGGUCUUCCAGCCUCUCGUUGGCCUGCGCCACGGCGAAGGAGUACUCCCCGGACGCGUGCGGCUUCAGCUCCGCGUGCCACAGCAACCCGUCCCCUCCCCCGCCGGCCCCGCUGCCGCUACCGCAGCCACCGCGCCCCAGGCACCGCUCCGCCGGCCGCGCCAGCCACCGCAGCAUCGUGGGCCUCUCCCCGCCCUCCUCCCCCCUUCCUUGCCCGGACUUCCUCGGCAAUAUAGUCGCAGCCUCCGAAAAUUCUUGCCAAGAUCGCAGCUUCCUCCUCCACCGCCACCGAAAUUUGAUGAAAUUUCUCCGCACGGCCGAAGCUUUCACCUCGGCGCCAUCCAAAACCGCGCGAAAUCGCUCGCUUCUUCCCACCAGACAACAACCCAAAACGACGGAUCAGUCCAAUCCUUUGCCACCCUGUUUUUCCUCGCUAUUGUUAGUGGGGCGCUCCAAAGCGAAGCUUUUCCAUCGGUGCUUCUCCUGGCGCGGCAGCUGGCAGUCGGGAGGAAUUCCAUUAAAAGACAGUGGCGACGGCCCACCGUCGGAUUUGGCGCGCAGGGCACGUGUGGACGGCUACGGUUUCCUCCGGAUGACCGGACGCUGACUGGUCAAUGCGUCCUCAUCUGGUGGGGCCCGGCCUGGUGGUGACGGCCAUGCGUCGACCAGACAGGUCGUCAGUGGUCAAGUCAGCGAGACCUUAGCCGGGUCUAAAUGCCCUCUAAACACGGGGUCGUGUUGUUUGGUGGCCAACUCAAGAGACUUGAUCUGUCCAUGAAUACGACACAUUAUUAUGCGUGCUGUCAGUACUGUAUUUUCAAACUUUGACCACCAUUACGUGCACGGCAUGCAAGAAUCAUAUACAGUACUAACAUAUUUAUCUUACGAUAUGUACUGUUUUCCUUUUUUUUGUCAUAUUAGAAGUGAGAAAUAUAAUUUUUACGAGGGAAAUGAGAAAUAUACUGUUCAUUCUAGGGGCGUGUUUGGUUUUUUUUUUUGCGCAUGAAAGAACCUUCAUUACUUAGAUCGAGUCACUACACUCCUGUCUACACAGGACAUCAAUCUCCUCAGGGACACUACCAAGCCAAACUGCAGUUCUGGGCCUGGAACGACCCAUCUGCGCUAGCGUAUGGCUAGCUUUAUUUUGCUCUCUCCUAAUCAACGAUAUUUUAUGUUCUCGGAUUGCAAGGAGCUGUCGGAUGUCACCAACCAUUGCCGCUACUGGUGACCGGUUGGUCACCAUCUCGCUGAUCAUGUUGGCCGCUGUCGAGCAAUCCGUCUCCACGAUGAGUUUCUCCUGACUCCUCUCCAAGGCCAAAGAGAUGCCCUCCAGUAGUGCCGCCAUCUCCGCUUUCAGGGCGCUCGCACAUCUGCUAAUGAAACGACAAGACGAGUAAAUGACAGUACCCCCUUGGUCUCGGAGGAUCAUGCCAGCACCGCCUGUGCCGUCUUCUUCCUUCCAAGAGCCAUCUACAUUUAGCUUGACCCAGCCAGGCGAGGGUUUCAGCCAGCGCUCCGGAGGUCGGGUGCAUGCAUGCAUCAAUAUAUGUUGCUUGCUAUUCCCUCCAUAGUCGCCAUAAGCUACUAUCUUCUUCUCUUUUAUCAUGUCAUCACCGGGGUGUUGUUGAAUAUGCAUGAGAGUAUUGAUGUAGCCGGUCAAGAAUCUGCAGGAUACCUCCACUGGCGGCGCUGGCUUAUUAUGGUACACCUCGUUGCGCACAUACCAGCUCCGCCAGAGUGUCAUCACCACCGGUAGCCUCUCCUUCUCAGUGCACCGGUUAAGCAAGUGGAGGAGCCACUCCGGCCCUGUGUUAGCUAUUGUCUCCAGCUUGGGCAUGCUCCAGUACCGCCUCAUCUCCGUCCAAAGUCGCCGUGCCAGGGGGCAUCUGCAUAGGGCAUGGAAGGUGUUCUCGAUUUCUAUACCACAUAAAGCACACAUAUACUCAUUUUGCCAUCUUUUACUAUCUAAGGUUAGGUGAUUAAAAAUGACGUCAUAGUACGAACUGAGCACAAUUGGUUAGAUUUCUUAUGGUGGAAGCAUCCCAUCCGUGUUCAAAUCAUGGAUUUGGUACGGUUGGUCGUAUUUUUCUGAAUUUGUUUUAUUCAUGAAUUUUGAUGAUGUGCAUUUAGUGAGAAGAAACGUUUCCGCCGACUACAAGGUGCAUGUGCCAACUUCGUCAAUCUCAAGAUUUGUCAGCUCUCGAAGGUGCUCGUACGGAUAGGGUGUACGUGUGUAUGUUUAUAGAUGUGGGUGUGCAUACGUGUAUGUGAGUGUUUAUGUAUGUACUGUAUUUCUAAAAAGAUGACGCUCAUAGUUGAGAUAAUAUUGUCACACUUUUUAAAAUCAAGUACAUAUGAACCUAGUAAAAAAAUCUUGUCAUAAGUGUGGCCACAAAAGGUAUAAUUCAAUCAAACUUGAUUAUCUCGUGAUGGACAAAAUGCGACUAAAUUAGUAUGCCAACCAAACUAAAGGCCAUGCAUUUGCUAAUUGUAUAUUGUCAAACUUAUAUUUCUAGACAGAUUGGGUAUCGUUUAAAGUAAAAUAACCACAUUACUUUCUAAGGAUCCGCCAUUAGAUUAAGGGUCGUUUGGUUGCCCGCCUUAGCUUGCCAUGCCUAAGGUCAAGCAUGUGAUAGGUCCCUCUACAUGCAUUUGGUUCUACAUGGAGGUUGCCACAGUCUGAAACGGCUUUUGCUGAAGAAAAUUUCGCAGCUCUUAUUUUUCCUGCCACACUGCUCAAGGUAAAAAUCAUCACCACCGAAACAACCAUUCUCUAGUAUUUCACUAGGUGGUGGAGCUAGUUGGGGAUCUUUUUCCUUCAGACUAAGCUCACUCUGCCCCUUAAAAAGUAGAUCAUCGGCUAGUCUACCACUGGGUGAAAUACUAAAUGUUUGGGGCAAGAGAGGGAAGUAACUGUAUUUCAUUCAAUCUAAGCUCGCCCCUUCCCCCCAAAGAGGCACAUCCAAAAUUAUUCACUAACCUUUUGCAACACUUCUGCUUCGGUACACUUUUGCACAAUCGCUCGGGACUGGGCCGGCCCAUUAAGCCCUACCACGUUCAGUGUAAAUGUCGUAAAAAUACUGAGAUAAAGAAAGCUCAUGAAGAUUUGAACUCAAGACCUCCAACUUAAAGGCAAAUGAUGAUAGCCACUUAACCACCCCAAUAUAUGUGGUACUUCCUAGCGCAAAAUAUAUAAGAAAACACAAAGAGCACUUUGGAAGGAGAGGAACGCUAGGGUCUUUUGGAACGUCUCCGCGCCAACGACGAUUAUCGUGGAAAAAAAUCAUGGAUGAGGCGACAAUGUGGACGUUGGCGGGUGCCAGAGGGCUGGGUGUAAUUUUACAUCGCGAGUAGUUGCUUUAUCUUCGCCUUUGUUCAGCUAUUGUUUGGAUGUGGUCCUCAGACCUUGUUACAACUCUCUCUUAUUUAAUGAAAUGGCAAAUAUUUUUGCCUCGUUUCAAAAAAAACAAAGAACACUUUUUUAGCCUUAAUACAUACUCCGUAUGAAAUAUUUUCGGGAAACAAAUCCGAAACUUUUAUUGCAAAAAAUGUGAACAAUAUUUAAAUGCCGAAUAGUUUUGAAUUUCUAAACGAAAUUUUCGCAAACAUUUUUAAAAAUUUAAAUUUUUUUAAACAUGAACAAUUUCCGAACAUCUUUUGAAACAUGUUGUGGUUUUAUUUUUUUUGGGUUUUGUUUUUCUCAUUUCCUUCUAUUUUUAUUUUUCUCUCUUUUUCAUAUUAUUUUCUUUAUUAAAAUUUGUAAACUAUUUCUAAAACAUCAACCUUUUUCUUAAAUCCAUGAACUUUACAAAAUCAUGAAUAUUUUCUUAAAUUCUCGAACUUUGUUUUCAAAUCUGUGAUUUUUUUGAAUCAAUGAACCCUUUUUACUUUUUACAAACAUUUGUCAAACCCUGCGAUUCUUUUUUUUUCAAAUUCGUGGACAUUUGUUUUUAAAAUUGAUGAACUUUUUUAAAUUCGUGAACGCUUGGGUUGGCCCAACAGGAACCUGGCGUGAGCGAGGUCGUCGCCUAGUUGAACCAAGGCUUGAGCAUAGUUUUUUUUUUCAUUUUUCUUUUGUUUUAUCAUUAAUUUAUUUUUCUCUUUUUUGAAGUUUAUUAUUAUUUCUGAAACUUGUUAAAAAAUUGAAAUAUUUUUGGAAUACCAAAAAAUAUAGUUGUUUUCAAAUAUUGUUUUACAAUUUUGAAUAACUUUCUGGAAUUUGAAAAAAUGUUCCUGUUUUCGUAAAACAAAAUCACAAAUAUAAGAAAUUUUUGCGUUUCAAAAUUUGAUAAUUUUUUUAAAAAGUAUAGUGUUUGCUAUUUGUGUACAACAUAAAAUUUAUGGGCCAUUUUACGAAGUCGAAAAACAAUGUGAUUUCAAACGGUCCCUUCGGGCCCUACCUGAACACGCUGUGUUGUACAUGGUCUACUUUUGGACAUCUUCAAAUGAACCCAACUUUGCAAGCAAGUGGACAUGACCAUAGUAGGCAUACAUGCCUGGUUUGAACGAAUUUCGACAUCGUAUGCAAGUGGACAUGACCAUAGUAGGCAUUCAUGCCUGGCUUUUCACGGGGAAACCAUAGAAAAUGCAUAGAAUGUCAGAAAGCAAUGAAACUUGGCAUGCAUGCCUUCUAUGGUGAUGUCAGUGUGUGUAAAAAAUUGAUUCCAUUUUAUGGACCGGAAAAAGAAACUGCUUUGAGACUUGUUGUACCGACAAACUUGAACGAUCCCGGCUGAACAUGGUGUAGGCCCUGCCGUGCAUGGAAUGACACCAAAUUUUGCCAACGUAUGGGCAUGCCCAAGGUAGCCCCAUGUUGUGCUUCGUUGUUUACGUCUUGUUGUAUGGUAGCAAAGUCCAAUAUAUAUUGAAAGAAAAAAAUUUCUUUGGAAGGAAAUUAUGAUGUAUUUGUUUAGAAUAAGAAAAUUUGUUGGAAGAAAAUUAUGAAGUCUUGUUGUUUAUGUCUUUAUUGUUUAUUGUGUAACCUAUUUCAGAGCUUUUAUGACUUUUUGGUCAAAGUGAGAAGGCUGUAAAAGCAUAAGCAAACACCCAAACAAACAUGGCCUAAUAGGUAUACAUCCACCAUUAUUGUUUGUUGCUUCAAGGAAUUACAUGUUGUCUACAACCCAAUGUUUCAGUAUAGACGUCCUAGUUUCAAUCGAGAAUAUAUACACCUGUUUUUUAGUUGAUAAUAUAUAGUACAUCUGGAAUGAAUUUUUGAAGUGCCUUAAUUUUGGAAGCAGAAUUUUUUGAAUAUAAUAUGUUUCCGUCUCAUGUGCUUCCAUAAAAAAAUUAACUUUUUCAUGGCACAUUUGCAUUGCAAAUAAAAAACAUCUAGAAUCAUUUUUUUAUUUGUUUAUUUAUCGGAAGCGAAUCUGUCCCGCGAAAAAAAAUCGGAAGCAAAUAUGUAAUUAGUGGGAAACAUUAUUUUUUGUGUUUGUUUGUUGGAAGCAAUCACAACCUACCAAAUAAUUAGCGUAAUUUCUGGGAAUCAGUUAGUUUUGUUACUAGAAGCACAAAAUUAAUUAUCGAUGGAGAGAUUAGCUGGAGGAGAUGCUAUAUAUGUGGGUCGUCAUUACUAGGAGCACUGAUUUAGGGAGGAAAAAUUCAGUGCCUACUAAUAGUGUAGUCAUACCUAAAAUUGUCAAUAGUCCUAAGACUAGCCACAAUGGAGAGUAACAUACACUAGUAACAUACACAUAUUCCUACACUAUGUUACUACCUUGUAGUAACUUAGGUGUGGUGUCAUGCAAAGCUUCAUUUAUUAGGUUAUAGACUCAUAUUGCAUUGGGAGAUGUGAUGUUACAGUAACUAGCUAAGUUACUAGAACUACCUCUCUCUUCAUUAACUCAUUGCCACAUAGACAAAUUUGCUGAGUUGGACUCGAAGUUACCGCUGAAGUUACUCUCACUGUGGCUGGUCUAAGGUGAUCUGGUGGUACCGUGGUUUAUACGAUGGCAGGAAGUCUCGAGUUCGAUGCUUGACUGUUCUAUAUUUUUGAACAUUUACAUAAGAGAAAAAAGGUGGAAGUAGGCCGGCUCAUGAUGAGGGGCCGAGUUGACGUAUUUCACAGGUGAUCCAUCAUAUAUACGAAAGUAAGUAUGAUUGUCAAAAGUCCAUAUUACUCUUUUAGCCUGUUUGGUUCGGUGGAAUUGGAGAGAGGGAAUGGGAGUUUGAGGCAUAGAGAGUUUUAUUCCUUUGUUUAUUUAGGUGAAAUGGGGAUUCACCAGGGAAGUGGAAGGGGAAUUCACGUAUAGAAAUCCCACAUAUCUAUUAUCUAGGGGAGGGCUGGUAAUUGAGAUGGGGAAAGAGAAUUAGAGUUAAACUCCCAUUCCCCUUCCUGUUAGUUUGCCAAACAGGUUGUUUAUAUGUUUUGUGAGGGGGAGUGUACCGAAGCGGACUUUGCAAUAUUUAUAGGUUCCAUUCAGCUGUUAAAAACUAGUUCUCUCUUUUUCACACGGAUGCAUACAAGUCUUAGAUGGUACUCAUAAAACGGUAUGUGUACCUAUGCACAUGCAUGAUAUGUUUAGGUAUAGAAUGUCUAUUCCCACACAAAAUGUGCUAGCGGCUAUUAAUUUUGAUCUAAGAGUUAUCUAUGUUCCUGUUGGAUGGAACGGAUUAGCCCAUGAUUCUUAUGUGAUGCGUUGUCAUGUCUCAAUAGUGAGAUGAUGAUCUCAUGAUCCAUCUUGGCUCCAUUUCCUAAUGGUAUUUAUAUGAUACUUUCUCAUUUCUGUAACACUUACGCAAUUAGAGGAUAAGGACUCUCUGCAGAGGAAGAAUGCAUCUGUUGCAUGUUUUUGGGGUGAGUAACCUUAAUAUUCACCUUAUAGGGUUUUGAUAGGGGGAAAUAGACAUUGUGGCUACAUUUAGUGCGGAGGUUGGUGUAAAUGAACCUAACACAUGCACUAGAUGGUUCUCAAUGGAGGUUGAAUACUAAUGGCGCCUUCACGGUCAAGUCCAUCUACACGGAUCUAAUUAACACAUGACAAAGUUUUCCGCGCAAAACAUAUUUGGAAGAUCAAAGUUCCGAUAAAAAAUAAGUUUUGCAUGUGAUUUCUGUAGUGUGGGGUCAUUCUAGCCAAUGAUAACUUAGGGCAAGUGCAAUCGGCACGAAUAUAAAAAUGUUAUUUCUUUGAUCAAGAGGAAAUAAUUCAAAAUCUUUUUCCUUCUGUGUCCUUUUGCAUAUUUGAUUUGGCAAACUCUUCAUAUAGCAUUUAAUUUACCAUCGCCAACUAGUACUAAACUUUUUGGGGAACCGAUUGAUAGGCAUUCAACCCAAUCUUAAAGGACAUAUCCGUGUUGAAAUCCAUGCCUUACUGUGGGCUCCCUCGCAUGCUCGUAAUGAUAUCAUUUUAACGGUACAAUACGUAAAGAAAAUGCAGACCAAUUUCAGGCUCAUAUGAGAAUUCGUACAUGGUUAUUACUUUAGCGUGUGGACCCUCACGAACAUGUGGCCUUUGGGUGUAGCUGGUCGGAGAUGGUCACACAAGUUUUGUCCAAACAAUUUGGUUGGCGGGUUACUAAUAUAUUAUGUGUGUAGGCAUAUAAUUAUGCUCCUUGCCGAUUGCCGUCUUCCUUUUUAUCUCAGAGUUAUGUCUGUUGACAUGUAUUUUUAUUUCGACCGGGUAUGGUUACUUUCUAAUUUUUGUUAGCUGUAUUGAAUAACUAAGACCUUUCUAAUAAAAAUUGGUUAUGUGCAUCAUAAACAUGCAAAGGCCGAGGUUACCCUCCUUAAAAAACAUAUAAAGGAUAGAAUAUCUAGUUUUGCGGUUUAUAGAGUUAUGCAGUCCAAUGUUCAAACCUAGGUUCACUACUUAGCUCCCUGGCCUUGGUCACCACCACCACUAGGUUGGGUGGCACCGUCCGUCGAUGUCUCUUUCUCGGUCUAGGACGGUUGGGCAUCAACUGGUAUGGUGCUACGCAGAGAGGACGAAUCGGUGAUCUUGGCGGCAUAUAGGUACAUCUUUCAUUGUACUUAAGCCCCGGAAGCAGAUAUUCAUGCACUUAUGCAUGGUAUGGUACUUGCCAUUCAGCAUACAGACAGACCACUAAUUAUUCAAGCAGAUUCACCGACUCUACUGUCUAUCCUCUCGGGCGAGGCUCUUUCCCGGUCGGCCUAUGGUCAUCUAGUUGUUGAGAUUACAUCUAUUGUGAAAGUUAGGAAGUUUGUUCCUCGAGAAAUUUACAUAGAUCAAAAUAGGGUAGCACAUCAAUUGACAAUUAUAGCCGUAUCAAAGCUUGCAUUGCGGUAUGAAUGCAUUCGGGUACUCAUUGGUGUGAGGAAAUAUUGUCUCGAGAUUGUAACACUAUUAUUAUGAAAUAAAAUUCCAUUUUCCCCGAAAAAGCUUCACUAUGUAGGCCUUCUGGUCAUGUAUCGAACAUUUGUUUUGUUUGCAUAUUUAUUUGUUGUUUGUUUCGAAGACUCAUUCUUAAGGCCGGACAAUUGUCUCUGUUCUAAAAAAAAUUCCAGUGUUCAAACAUCAAAUCAUCGUGUCCAUGGGCGUGUAUGCAAAAGAUACCACGUGUUUUAGCAUUGGUCGUACACGAUGUCUAUACCCCGCUUAAAUACCAUGCACAUAACCCCGAUCAUCUGAUGGCUAAGAGGAUCGACAGCUAGGCAUCCAAGUCCUACACCAUAUAAGUGUGUGGAUGCGCCCAGGAACGUCCGCGGAUAGUGAUUGAUCAAUUCUCAAAUCGUUGCAUCCACAACCGUGUACCACAUAUCCAGUACCCGAAAUUCAUACUACACAUGCAACAUGAAACAAACAUUGUAGAUCAUCAACAAAACAAACAUACACUAAACAAACAAACAAACAUAGAAAUCAAAAUAAUUCAGACAUAGAAAUCCACAUAAUCCGAACAUAGAACAAACAAUCAACACAGUUUACUGACAGACAUAGUUCUAAAGUAAAAUUACUAAAACUAGUAAGAAAGACGAAAAAGGGCUGAGCUUCUUCACCAUUUCCUCGCUGGUCCUUUGCACUAUCGGUUACCAGCGCGGCUAUAGCUGUCCGCAUAGGCGUCAGUGGCAGGUGAGGGUCGUCAUAGUCAUAAGAGGAGGUGGAGUCGAUGUAGCUGGCAAUCCUCUGGACGACGCGGUUCUGCUGCCUCGCGAUCUUUGCAGCUCUCACAUCCGCCAUCGCCCCCUCCGCCGCCUCGCAUGUCGACUGCUCCAAACCGAGCCGGAGCGCCUUGGGGUUCUUCCAAUGGAGCCAGCAGGCGUCUAUCUCCGUCGUUGUAACUGAGCGGUGGUAGACAACUGUGAGGAGUUGCUCCUCUCAUCAGGCACCACCGACAAUCCGCGACGGCGUCAGGAGGACUGUACGGCCGCCGCCUCUGAUGUCACCGCCCUCUCCCUAGCCCGCUGCCUCUCGCAAUGGGCGGUGGGCACCUCUAAUUCGAAGGUCUGAGUUUGUGGCGCCGAUAGGUCUGACAUGUGAAGGAAAUAUGCUCUAGAGGCAAUAAUAAAGUUGUUAUUUAUAUUUCCGUAUAUCAUGAUAAAUUUUUAUUAUUCAUGCUAGAAUUGUAUUAACCGGAAACUUAGUACAUGUUUGAAUACAUAGACAAACAAAGUGUCCCUAGUAUGCCUCUACUUGACUAGCUUGUUAAUAAAGGAUGGUUAAGUUUCCUAGCCAUGGACAUGUGUUGACAUUUGAUGAACGGGAUCACAUCAUUAGAGAAUGAUGUUACGGACAAGACCCAUCCGUUAGCUUAGCACUAUGAUCGUUUAGUUUAUUGCUAUUGCUUUCUUCAUGACUUAUACAUGUUCCUGUGACUAUGAGAUUAUGCAACUCCCGAAUACCGGAGGAACACCUUGUGUGCUAUAAAACGUCACAAUGUAACCGGGUGAUUAUAAAGAUGCUCUACAGGUGUCUCCGAUGGUGUUUGUUGAGUUGGCAUAGAUCGAGAUUAGGAUUUGUCACUCCGUGUAUCGGAGAGGUAUCUCUGGGCCCUCUCGGUAAUGCACAUCACUAUGAGCCUUGCAAACAAUGUGACUAAUGAGUUAGUUGUGGGAUGAUGCAUUACAGAACGAGUAAAGAGACUUGCCGGUGAUGAGAUUGAACUAGGUAUGAUGAUACCGACGAUCGAAUCUCGGGCAAGUAACAUACUGAUGACAAAGGGAACAACAUAUGUUGUUAUGCGGUUUGACCGAUAAAGAUCUUCGUAGAAUAUGUAGGAGCCAAUAUGAGCAUCCAGGUUACGCUAUUAGUUAUUGACCGGAGAUGUGUCUCGGUCAUGUCUACAUAGUUCUUGAACCCGUAGGGUCUGCACACUUAACGUUCGAUGACGAUUUAUAUUAUGAGUUAUGUGAUUUGAUGACCGAAGGUUGUUCAGAGUCCCAGAUUAGAUCACGAACAUGACGAGGAGUCUCGAAAUGGCCGAGACAUAAAGAUUCAUAUAUUGGAAGGUUACAUCAGACACCGGAAUGGUUCGGGUCGUUUCAGAUGAGUUUCAGAGUACCGGGGGUUACCGGAACCCCCCCUCCCCCGGGAAGUUAUUGGGCCUCAUGGGCCUAAUGGUGGAAGAGAGGAGGCAAGCCAAGGAAUGGAGCCCCCCCAGCCCAAACCGAAUUGGACUAGGGCUAGGGGGCCGCCCUCCCUUUCCUUCUCUUCUCCUACUCCUUCCCUCCUUCUUGUGGAAGUAGGAAAGGGGGGGGGGGAUCCUACUUGGAGUAGGACUCUCCCCCUUGGGCGUGCCACCCUUCGCCGGCCUCCUCCUCCCUCCCCCUUUAUAUACGUGGGAGGGGGCACCCCAUAGACACACAAGUUGAUCUUUUAGCCGUGUGCGGUCCCCCCCUCCACAGAUACACACCUCGGUCAUAUCAUUGUAGUGCUUAGGCGAAGCCCUGCAUCGGUAACUUCAUCAUCACCGUCACCAAACAUCAUGCUGACGGAACUCACCCUCGGCCUCAGCUGGAUCAAGAGUACAAGGGACGUCACUGAGCUGAACGUGUGCUGAUCGCGGAGGUGUCGUGUGUUCGAUACUUGGAUCGGUUGGAUCACGAAGACGUUCGACUACAUCAAUCACGUUACUAAACGCUUCCGCUUUCGGUCUACGAGGGUAUGUAGACACACUCUCCCCUCUCGUUGCUAUGCAUCUCCUAGAUAGAUCUUGCAUGAUCGUAGGUAAAAAAUUUGAAAUACUGCGUUCCCCAACAGUGGCAUCAGAGCCAGGUCUAUGCGUAGAUGUUAUAUGCAUGAGUAGAACACAAAGAGUUGUGGGCGAUAAUAGUCAUAUUGCUUACCAGCAUGUCAUACUUUGAUUCAGCGGUAUUGUUGGAUGAAGAGGUCCAAACGGACAUUACAUGACCGCGUUCAUGAGACUGGUUCUACCACCGUGCUUCACACACAUGUGGCUAGUGGGUGUCUGUUUCUCCAGCUUUAGUUGAAUCGAGUUUGACUACGCCCGGUCCUUGUUGAAGGUUAAAACAACACACUUGACGAAAAAUCGUUGUGGUUUUGAUGCGUAGGUAAGAACGGUUCUUGCUAGAAACCCAUAGCAGGCACGUAAAACUUGCAUCAACAAAGUAGAGGACGUCUAACUUGUUUUUGCAUGGCUUGUUGUGAUGUGAUAUGGUCAAGACGUGAUGAUAUAAAUUGUCGUAUGAGAUGAUCAUGUUUUGUAAUAGUUAUCGGCAACUGGCAGGAGCCAUAUGGUUGUCGCUUUAUUGUAUGAAAUGCAAUCGCCAUGUAAUUGCUUUACUUUAUCACUAAACGGUAGCGAUAGUCGUAGAAGCAAUAGUUGGCGAGACGACAACGAUGCUACGAUGGAGAUCAAGGUGUCAAGCCGGUGACGAUGGUGAUCAUGAUGGUGCUUUGGAGAUGGAGAUCAAAGGCACACGAUGAUGAUGGCCAUAUCAUAUCACUUAUUUUGAUUGCAUGUGAUGUUUAUCCUUUAUGCAUCUUAUUUUGCUUAGUACGGCGGUAGCAUUAUAAGAUGACCUCUCACUAAAUUUCAAGGUAUAAGUGUUCUCCCUGAGUAUGCACCGUUGCUAUAGUUCGUCGUGCCGAGACACCACGUGAUGAUCGGGUGUGAUAAGCUCUACGUUCACAUACAACGGGUGCAUGCCAGUUUUGCACAAGCAGAAUACUCAGGUUAAACUUGACGAGCCUAGCAUAUGCCGAUAUGGUCUCGGAACACUGAGACCGAAAGGUCGAGCGUGAAUCAUAUAGUAGAUAUGAUCAACAUAGUGAUGUUCACCAUUGAAAACUUUUCCAUCUCACGUGAUGAUCGGACAUGGUUUAGUUGAUAUGGAUCACGUGAUCAUUUAGAUGACUAGAGGGAUGUCUAUCUAAGUGGGAGUUCUUAAGUAAUAUGAUUAAUUGAACUUUAAUUUAUCAUGAACUUAGUACCUAAUAGUAUUUUGCAUGUCUAUGUUGUUGUAGAUAAAUGGCCCGUGCUACUAUUCCUUUGAAUUUUAAUGCGUUCCUAUAGAAAUCUAAGUUGAAAGAUGAUGGUAGCAACUACACGGACUGGGUCCAUAACUUGAGGACUAUCCUCAUUGCUACACAAAAGAAUUACGUCCUGGAAGCACCGCUAGGUGCAAAGCCCGUUGCAGGAGCAACACCGGAUGUUAUGAACGUCUGGCAAAGCAAAGUGAUGACUACUCGAUAGUUCAGUGUGCCAUGCUUUACGGCUUAGAAUCGGGACUUCAACGACAUUUUGAACGUCAUGGAGCAUAUGAGAUGUCCCAGGAGUUGAAGUUAAUAUUUCAAGCAAAUGCCCGAAUUGAGAGAUAUGAAAUCUCCAAUAAGUUCUAUAGCUGCAAGAUGGAGGAGAAUAGUUCUGUCAGUGAACAUAUACUCAGAAUGUCUGGGUACCACAACCACUUGACUCUAUUGGGAGUUAAUCUUCCUGAUGAUAGUGUCAUUGACAGAGUUCUUCAAACACUGCCACCAAGCUACAAAAGCUUCGUGAUGAACUAUAAUAUGCAAGGGAUGGAUAAGACAAUUCCCGAGCUCUUCGCAAUGCUAAAGGCUGCGGAGGUAGAAAUCAAGAAGGAGCAUCAAGUGUUGAUGGUCAACAGGACCACUAGUUUCAACAAGAAGGGCAAAGGGAAGAAGGGGAACUUCAAGAAGAAUGGAAAGAAAGUUGCUACUCAAGUGAAGAAGCCCAAGUCUGGACCUAAGCCUGAGACUGAGUGUUUCUACUGCAAAGGGACUGGUCACUGGAAGCGGAACUGCCCCAAGUAUUUGGCGGAUAAGAAGGAUGGCAAAGUAAAAGGUAUAUUUGAUAUACAUGUUAUUGAUGUGUACCUUACUAAUGCUCGCAGUAGCGCCUGGGUAUUUGAUACUGGUUCUGUUGCUCAUAUUUGCAACUGGAAACAGGGGCUGCGGAUUAAGCGAAGAUUGGAUAAGGACGAGGUGACGAUGCGCGUGGGAAAUGGUUCCAAAGUCGAUGUGAUCGCGGUCGGCACGCUACCUCUACAUCUACCUUCGGGAUUAGUUUUAGACCUGAAUAAUUGUUAUUUGGUGCUAGCGUUAAGCAUGAAUAUUAUAUCUAGAUCUUGUUUGAUGCGAGACGGUUAUUCAUUUAAAUCACAGAAUAAUGGUUGUUCUAUUUAUAUGAGUAAUAUCUUUUAUGGUCAUGCACCCUUGAUGAGUGGUCUAUUUUUAUUGAAUCUCGAUAGUAGUGAUACACAUAUUCACAAUAUUAAAGCCAAAAGAUAUAAUUUUAAUAAUGAUAGUGCAACUUAUUUGUGGCACUGCCGUUUAGGUCAUAUUGGUGUAAAGCGCAUGAAGAAACUCCAUGCUGAUGGGCUUUUGGAAUCACAUGAUUAUGAAUCACUUGAUGCUUGCGAACCAUGCCUCAUGGGAAAGAUGACUAAGACUCCAUUCACCGGACAAUGGAGCGAGCAAUAGACUUAUUGGAAAUAAUACAUACUGAUGUAUGCGGUCUGAUGAGUGUUGAUGCUCGCGGCGGGUAUCGUUAUUUUCUGACCUUCACAGAUGAUUUGAGCAGAUAUGGGUAUAUCUACUUGAUGAAACAUAAGUCUAAAACAUUUGAAAAGUUCAAAGAAUUUCAGAAUGAAGUGAAAAACAUCGUAACAAGAAACCCAAGUUGUUACUGUGAUUUGGCAAGAAACCCAAGUUGCCGUUUCUUAAAGUUUGGGGCUGCGAUGCUUAUGUGAAGAAACUUCAACCUGAUAAGCUCGAACCCAAAUCGGAGAAAUGUGUCUUCAUAGAAUACCCCAAAAGUACACCUUCUAUCAUAGAUCUGAAGGCAAGAUAUUCGUUGCUAAGAAUGGAUCCUUUCUAGAGAAGGAGUUUCUCUCGGAAGAAGUGAGUGGGAGGAAAGUAGAACUUAAUGAGGUAACUAUACCUUCUCCCUUAUUGGAAAGUAGUUCAUCACAGAAAUCAGUUCCAAUGAUUUCUACACCAAUUAGUGAGGAAGCUAAUGAUAAUGAUCAUGAAACUUAUGAUCAAGUUACUACCGAACCUCGUAGGUCAACCAGAGUAAGAUCCACACCAGAGUGGUACGGUAAUCCUGUUCUGGAUGUCAUGUUACUUGACCAUGAUGAACCUACGAACUAUGAGGAAGCGAUAUGAGCCCAGAUUCCGCAAAAUGGCUUGAGGCCAUGAAAUCUGAGAUGGGAUCCAUGUAUGAGAACCUAGUGUGGACUUUGGUUAACUUGCCCGAUGAUCGGUAAGCCAUAGAGAAUAAAUGGAUCUUCAAGAAGAAAACUGACGCUGACGCUAAUGUUACUGUCUACAAAGCUCGACUUGUUGCGAAAGGUUUUCGACAAGUUCAAGGAGUUGCCUACGAUGAGACCUUCUCACCCGUAGUGAUGCUUAAGUCCGUCCGAAUCAUGUUAGCAAUUGCCGCAUUUUAUGAUUACAAAAUUUGGCAAAUGGAUGUCAAAACUGCAUUCCUUAAUGGAUAUCUUAAAGAAGAGUUGUAUAUGAUGCAACCAGAAGGUUUUGUCGAUCCAAAAGGUGCUAACAAAGUGUGCAAGCUCCAACGAUCCAUUUAUGGACUGAUGCAAGCAUCUGGGAGUUGGAAUAUACGCUUUGAUAGUGUGAUCAAAGCAUAUGGUUUUAUACAGACUUUUGGAGAAGCUUGUAUUUACAAGAAAGUGAGUGGGAGCUCUGUAGCAUUUCUAAUAUUAUAUGUGGAUGACAUAUUGCUGAUCAGAAAUGAUACCGAAUUUCUGAAUAACAUAAGAGGAUAUUUGAAUAAGAAUUUUUCAAUGAAAGACCUCGGUGAAGCUGCUUAUAUAUUGGGCAUCAAGAUCUAUAGAGAUAUAUCAAGACGCUUAAUUGGACUUUCACAAAGCACAUACCUUGAUAAAGUUUUGAAGAAGUUCAAAAUGGAUGAAGCAAAGAAAGGGUUCUUGCCUGUGUUACAAGGUGUGAAGUUGAGUCACACUCAAUGCCCGACCACUACAGAAGAUAGAGAGAACAUGAAAGUCAUUCCCUAUGCCUCAGCCAUAGGUUCUAUCAUGUAUGCAAUGCUGUGUACCAGACCUGAUGUGUGCCUUGCUAUUAGUUUGGCAAGGAGGUACCAAAGUAAUCCAGGAGUGGAUCACUGGACAACGGUCAAGAACAUCCUGAAAUACCUGAAAAGGACUAAGGAUAUGUUUCUCGUUUAUGGAGGUGACAAAGAGCUCGUCGUAAACGGUUACGUCGAUGCAAGCGUUGACACUGAUCUGGAUGACUCUAAGUCACAAACCGGGUACGUAUUUUUAUUGAAUGGUGGAGUUGUCAGUUGGUGCAGUUCUAAGUAGAGCAUCGUGGGAGGAUCUACAUGUGAAGCGGAAUACAUAGCUGCUUUAGAAGCAUCAAAUGAAGGAGUCUGGAUGAAGGAGUUCAUAUCCGACCUAGGUGUAAUACGUAGUUCAUCUGGUCCAAUGAAAAUCUUUUGUGACAAUACUGGUGCAAUUGCCUUGGCAAAGGAAUCCAGAUUUCACAAGAGAACCAAGCAUAUCAAGAGACGCUUCAAUUCCAUUUGCGAUCAAGUCAAGGAGGGAGACAUAGAGAUUUGCAAGAUACAUAUGGAUCUGAAUGUUGCAGACUCGUUGACUAAGCCUCUCUCACGAGCAAAACAUGAUCAUCACCAAGACUCCAUGGGUGUUAGAAUCAUUACUGUGUAAUCUAGAUUAUUGACUAGUGCAAGUGGGAGACUGAAGGAAAUAUGCCCUAGAGGCAAUAAUAAAGUUGUUAUUUAUAUUUCUUUAUAUCAUGAUAAAUGUUUAUUAUUCAUGCUAGAAUUGUAUUAACCAGAAACUUAGUACAUGUGUGAAUACAUAGACAAACAUAGUGUCCCUAGUAUGCCUCUACUUGACUAGCUCGUUAAUCAAAGAUGGUUAAGUUUCCUAGCCAUGGACAUGUGUUGUCAUUUGAUGAACGGGAUCACAUCAUUAGAGAAUGAUGUGAUGGACAAGACCCAUCCGUUAGCUUAGCACUAUGAUCGUUUAGUUUAUUGCAAUUGCUUUCUUCAUGACUUAUACAUGUUCCUAUGACUAUGAGAUUAUGCAACUCAUGAAUACCGGAGGAACACCUUGUGUGCUGAUACGUCUCCAAGGUAUCUAUAAUUUUUGAUUGUUCCAUGCUAUUAUAUUAUCAACCUUGGAUGUUUUAUAUGUAUUUGUAUGAUAUUUUAUAUGAUUUUUGGGACUAACCUAUUAACCUAGAGCCCAGUGCCAGUUUCUGUUUUUCCUUGUUUUUGAGUAUCGUAGAAAAGGAAAAUCAAACGAAGUCCAAUUGACCUGAAAUUUCAUGGAGAUUAUUUUUGUACCAGAAGAAGCCCACGAAGUAUCGGAGAUGGGCCAGAAGAGUCCCGAGGCACCCACGAGGGUGGGGGCGUGCCCUACCCUCCUGGGCGCGCCCCCUACCUCGUGGUCGCCUCGGGGACCCCCCCUGACUUGUUCCCGACUCCAACACCUCUUACAUAUACCCAAACUUCCAAAAAGAAACCUAGAUCAGGAGUUCCGCCGCCGCAAGCCUCUGUAGCCACCAAAAACCAAUCAGGACUCCCCUCUGGCACCCAGCCGGAGGGGGGAUCCAUCACCGGUGGCCAUCUUCAUCAUCCCGGCGUUGUCCAUGACGAGGAGGAAGUAGUUCACCCUCGGGUUGAGGGUAUGUACCAGUAGCUAUGUGUUUGAUCUCUCUCUCUCUCUCGUGUUCUUGAUUUGGCACGAUCUUGAUGUAUCGCGAGCUUUGCAAUUAUAGUUGGAUCUUAUGAUGUUUCUCCCCCUCUACUCUCUUGUAAUGGAUUUAGUUUUCCCUUUGAAGUUAUCUUAUCGGUUUGAGUCUUUAAGGAUUUGAGAACACUUGAUGUAUGUCUUGCAUGUGCUUAUCUGUGGUGAAAAUGGGAUAUUCACGUGAUCCACUUGAUGUAUGUUUUGGUGAUCAACUUGUGAGUUUCGUGACCUCAUGAACUUAUGCAUAGGGGUUGGCACACGUUUUCGUCUUGACUCUCCGGUAGAAACUUUGGGGCACUCUUUGAAGUUCUUUGUGUUGGUUGAAUAGAUGAAUCUGAGAUUGUGUGAUGCAUAUCGUAUAACCAUACCCACGGUGUAACAUCCCAAAAUUCUAAAUUUUGGAAUGUUAUAAUAAAUAGAUAGAUUUGAUUGAUUGUUUGAUUGAUUGUCUGAAAGUGAGAGAAUUCGAAACUUUUGAAAGUUAAAUGAGAGGGAAUAAAAGGACUUUCCCAAACUUUCAUAUUUGCUUUUUGAUCUCCGUGAAUUCAAAUUCCUUUCAAAUACAAAACCCUUGAGUGAAGAUGAUAUGACUUCUUCCAUUUAAAAAUGAAAAGGGUGUUUGAAAAAUAUAUUUGAAUUCCAUUGGGAAAUAUUUUCUAAUUCAGAAACUUUAUGCAACUCAAUGAUUUUCAUGAGAGAAGAUAAAAUGACUUCUUCAAAUUAUAUGAAAUAUGAGUUGGGAGUUUCAAAGAAUUAAAUUCAAAAUUCUUUUGAAUUUAUUUUCAAUUUGGAGUUAUUUGAGUUUUAUUCAAAUUAUUUUCCUCCAAAAAUAAAAUAUAUGGAAAAUAGGGUAACAUGAUUCCCUACAUUAGAAAAUUGGAGGAAAAUUAAUUUGAAAUCAUUUUGGUAUUUUUUAAAAAUGAUUUUAGUUGGAUUUUAAUAGACCUUUAGCACUCUUUGUUUUAUCUGAAUUUGUGUGGAUUUUAUUUGAAGUUAUAAAAAUGUUCACCGUGUAGAAAAUCUUUUUCUGAAAUUUUUGAUAUAUAAUAUGCCUAUAUAAUAUUUUAGUUUAUUUUAGUUUAUUUUAGUUUAUUUUUGUUUUUGUUGCCUGUGAAAAAUGUUAAAAAAACUCGUCGAAUAGUGCCAGGCCGAAGCCCAGCACUGCUCUCUCUCUCUCUCUCUCUCUCUCUCUCUCUCUCUCUCUCUCUCUCUCUCUCUCUCUCUCUCUCUCUCUCUCUCUCUGUCUCUCUCCGCGCCAGGCCAGCCGGCCCAGCAGGCCGCGGNNNNNNNNNNNNNNNNNNNNNNNNNNNNNNNNNNNNNNNNNNNNNNNNNNNNNNNNNNNNNNNNNNNNNNNNNNNNNNNNNNNNNNNNNNNNNNNNNNNNNNNNNNNNNNNNNNNNNNNNNNNNNNCCGACUGGGCCGGCCCAGCCAACCAGGCCAAGCCCAGCCCAGCCGAGCCUUCCCCGACCUCACGCUAGAGGCCGGAUCUCGCACGCCUGCGCCGCCGCCUCGACGUGCGUGCUCCGCCCGGACUCCCCGCCGCCUCUCCUUGCCCCUCCUCCAGGCCACCUCCCCUCCCCUCCUAUAAAGGGCGCCGCCCCGGCCCCGUUUCCCUCUCUCUCCUCUCGCCGCGCCCCGCCGAAUCGCGCCGCCUCGCCGGACUUCGCCGUCGCCGCUGCACGCUUCGCCGCNNNNNNNNNNNNNNNNNNNNNNNNNNNNNNNNNNNNNNNNNNNNNNNNNNNNNNNNNNNNNNNNNNNNNNNNNNNNNNNNNNNNNNNNNNNNNNNNNNNNNNNNNNNNNNNNNNNNNNNNNNNNNNNNNNNNNNNNNNNNNNNNNCCCGCUGCUGCCGCCGGCUUGCUGCUUCGCCCCGCGCCGCUCCCCGCCCUAGCCGCGCCGCCACCCGCCGCUGUCGCCGCUCCUCGCAGUCGCCGGAGCCGCGCCGCCCUCGCCGGAGAUCCGCCGCCGGUUCCUCACCGAAGAACCGCCCCGAACCGGUAUAAAACCGGCCCGGUCCGGUUUAUUUUUCCUUUAUUUCGGUUUUCGUUUAAAAAAACGGUUUAGUUUUUUAGAUUGAUCUAUUUAGAGAACGUUCGCUGGUUAGGUAUAGAAAACGAACGUUCACCUUUUAGUUUUUUUUCUUUUCUGUAAUUUCGGCCAGGGACCUAGAUGUGAAUACUUUAUUUACAGAAUAGUCCCUAUACUUCAAACAAGCACAACUUUUUACUCGUUAGUCCAAAUCCAACGAAACCAACGCCCACUUCUUCGUUAUGAUCUCCUCUAUCCGGUAAUCCAACUCAAACAUGUUUUUUGAAAAUUUUAAAAUUUGAAUUAGAUCAGAUUUGAAUUCAAACUUUGUUUGAUCAUAACUUGAGUUUCGUAGCUCCGUUUGAGUUGAUUCUUUUUGCAAAUCGAAGCUCUUGAUCUAAACAUUCUAAUAAGGCCAAAUUCACAUAAUUUUGGUGCUGUUAGAAAUUGUUUUAUGUUGCAAGAGUUAUUUGCUUGGUUUCGAUGUUUUCCGAAUUGUUUUCUUCGAUCUUUCUGAUCUUUAGAGUGAUUGCUUAUGUGUGGUCACUAUUGCUUGCUUACGAUAGAUUGACCGGAGUGUGACGAGUAGAUCUAUCAAGAGUUUUGAGUGCGAAUCAUCUUCAUCAACAUUGCAGGCAAGUUCACACUUUGAUCAUACCUUUUUCUACAACCCAGUUUUAUUGCAUUAGAUCAAUCCUCACACAUUGCAUGAUUAGUAUCUAAUUAAACUGUGGGAUGGGAAGUAGAUGAGGUAGUACCUAUCACUUGUAUUAUUAUGAAACCUUUGGGAGUUACUUCUACGUUUGCUUAUUAUGCCAUGCUAUGCUAGUAGACGUGGAUUGGGUGAGUGAUAUCCAUGACAGAUGUGAGUUGAUAAUUUUAAUGGUUUAUCUAAGGUGACAACUUAAACACACAUCUGGGUGGAUUGAGGCACCUGAUGUCUAUCAGGACUUGCCUGUUUUAUUUUGGACCGCCACCCAGGCUCAAAGGGAUCAUAAGAUCAUUCAUGCUAGAAACUUCCGUGUGCAGCCACAUGCUACUAUGGGCUCUGGCAUAGUCGACUAAGUUGUGCGAACUCUUACGGGGUGGACUAGCAGAUGUAGGGGUUGUAGGUGGUACGGUCUACCCCACAUGUAAGGUGCUAGCGCUUCUAAAAGACUAUGUCUCGAUCAUCUGUUUCUCAAACACCAUGUAGUGCGAGAAAACAAACGGAGGCGAUCGAGUCAUGUGGGGAAAAGUGCGCAAACCUCUGCAGAGUGUACAAACUAAUCAUGAUUAGCCGUGUCCCCGGUUAUGGACAACUUGAGUAUCUAGUACUUGAAUAUCAUGUGAAUCUCAUCACAUUACUUUAAAUGAAUAUUGUUGGGUUUUAAUGAUGUUACUUAAUUGGGAUUGAGAAUGCUGUCAACCAUUCUCAAUGUUCAACAACCACCAUGAUAGUUAAAUAAAUUUAUUCCUUUGUAGUAGGGAAAAAUUGGCUUUUCGCAAAAACCUUAUAACCAUAGAGCUUUUCCACCAGCCACAUAUGCAUAUAGUGAUAGCCAUUGUUCAUCAUUUUCUCUAUGGUGUGAAUUUGCCAGUACAUUCAAUGUACUGACCCGUUUCGGGCUGCAACGUCUCAUGUUGCAGGAUUAUCUUACGACGAGUAAGUGAUACGUUAGGGUUACGAUUUCUACACUCAACUUUGCCGUUGGUUUUGAUGGGAAUCCACAACCUUGUUGCUUCCGCUAUAUGGAUUGAGGUAAUAGUAUUUAUGUUACUUUAUACAUGUGAUUUACCUCUGUUAUAAACCCUUCGAGUACUGUGUGUGUCAGCAUACCGAUCUAGGGAUGACACUUAAGCACAGAGACUUGACCCAUUCGGGUUGGGUCGCUACAAGAUGGUAUCAGAGCACAUGUUGACUGUAGGACGUGACCCUAGAAACUGGCAAGCCCAUAGCAAAGAUUUUUCUCUACAACUUUCCCCUUUCAAAAAGAUCUUUUACCUCUCUUCUCUUCUGAGCUUAUUCAAAAAUUUCCUUUUAGUAAGACUAUACCCCUUUUCCCUUUUGACCACAUGAAGAUUCGACUGAUGAGACCACCCCAAGAAGUACGAGAUAUCGGACAACUAAGAGUAUUUUCCGUGCAUCUGAAUAAUGGAAACUACAACGGUUGAAGGCCCAAGACAAGUAGAAUUUGAAGGCUCUGAAGAAUUCCCAGAUUUAUAUGACCUAGGAAGGCUACCCUUAUGGAACUUGACAGAUUAUGGAAGUUGUCAAUACCCGAGAUCAAGGUGUGUUGGAGAAAGACCGGAGCAUGUAGAGUUAAGAACUCAAGGAUUUGUCAAGGAAAACCCUAAGGCAGGAGAUAUCAACUAUGGAGAGAUAGCUCAUGGAAAUGACAACCACGGCUAUCCAUGAGGUUAUCGCCCGCAUAUGCUAUUGUCACCGUGCUGAGUUAAGCAUGCAUAUGCAUGGAAGGAUUAAAUGGUAGAAGGCUGAUGGAGCACCUAUCAGCAAGAUGAAGUUUUAACCUUUGCCGGUGUAUCACCAGGAUCUGGAGUGUUACAUCAAGAAGUUAAGAUGGACCUAAAAGAAGCAUUAAUUGAUAAGGAAGCAUUUCGUGAAGAACUUAAGACCAGAAGUUGAAAGCAGCCAAGCUAGAGAAGUAAAACCUUGAGAUACAGGAGAUUCGUCAGGAACUGAAGGACAGUAGGACCAUGGUUCAUGCCAAGGAUAAUGAAACCCAGAAGUUUGAAAUGCAACUCCGGAAUAUUAAAGGAUGUCACGAGAGAUUUCACAUCAACAGAGAUUGAUCUGGCAAAAGAACUUGAGAAAGACAAGCAUGAUCGGAAGAAGCCAUUGGAGGCAUGAACAAGACUUGAAGAGUUUGGCGACAUUGACCUUACCAGACCAAACCCCUAUUAUACACCUACAUUAGAUGCGAUGAUUGCGAGCUGUCAUUUGUUUGUUGUUUUCCGACAGCCACAAUAAAAUCUGUCUUUUCAAAACCAUUGUUUGUAUUGUGUACAUCCCUCUCUCUUGAUCUCUCUUAUCUCACCCCAAAACCCAUGGACCUAAUAGAGGAUGAAUGGAGAUGAGCUUGUAUUUUCGGGACCGAUGAGUCAAUUGGAGACAGACCGAUGGAUUCAGAACAUGGAGGAUCAUAUGGAGAACAACCCUAUAGUCGGAAAGGAUAUGGCCCAGCAUGCUCUUCAAUGCUUUGAAAGAGGUGCUGCUACUUGGUGGAGGAUGUAUCAAACCAUCAAUGGAUGGCAAGGAGUAACCACUUGGAAAGAAUUUAAGUUGACCUUGCUAAAGUCUCAGUUUGUGUCCCAGAAGUUGAAGCCUUGUGGAAAGGAUAUGAAGAAACCUUGUGCAUGCAAGAUUUGUGGAGAAAUAGGACACACCCAUAAAGAACACAAGGAUGAAUGCCCGAAUUGUGAAGAAAGUCACCCAGUUGAAGAAUGCCCAACUAGGCAGAUUACUUGUUUCUUGUGUGAAGGGACUACCCACUACCCUGCACAGUGUCACAUUUACACCAUGGUACAAGGAACCAUCCAGCAGAAAAAAGAAGCAAUGAAAGGAGCCCUAAUGGGAAUUUUAAAAGAACCUGCGAUGAAGGACACACCCAAAGAGGAACCAAUUAAACCCUACACCAAGUCUUGCUAUUCAUGUGGAGAAGAAGGACACAUCUCCCAGAAUUGUAUGAAUGGGAAUCUAGUAGAAUUCCCGGCUGAGGAAGUAGAGUAUGACCCACAGGAAAUAGAAUCCCUGAUUGGAAUGGAAAAGUCCAGAAAGAGAAGUAGAUUGGAUUCCAGGAAGGAUCUGAGUCAUGUCACCUGUUAUGGGUGCAAGGAGUCAGGGCACUACCACAACAAUUGCCCAAAAAGGAAGCCAAGGACCCAAGUAGGCUAUAUAAUCACAAGGAAACCUCGAAUCUUCCCAGAAGUAAUAUGUUUCCGUUGUAAUGAAGCAGGGCACUUUGCCAGAGAAUGCCCCACGGAGAAGGAAACCUGUGCUAGGUAGUUGAGUUUGCAACAGAAGUAAUGGAGUAGUAGAAGUGAGAACAUUUUCUUGAGGUGUUGAGUUGGGACAUGUAAUGGAAAAGCGAGAGAUUGUAAUUAAUUGAGAGUGAAUAAAGUUAGCAUCGUUGGUACUGAUAUGGAUCUUAUGAGUUGUUACUCUAUGAAGAAGAAUUUUGACCCUUUUGAGGAUAAGAGAAAUAUGGUCUAUGGAAGAUUUGUGCAUUUUAAGGGUGGUAGUACCCUGUAAUGGACUUCAGACAAAAAUGAAUAUGAGUUUUGUCUCGAUAUGUGUGAUGCCCCAAGAGUAUGUGGGAUGAAGUUGGAGACCGUCAGUUGUUUGGACCAAAUGUGAUCAAGGAGUCAGAAGAGAAUGUUAAGUUGAUUCGAGAUAGACUGAAGGUAGCUCAGUCCAGGCAGAAGAGUUAUGUAGACUCAAAAACUCAAGGAGGUAGUCUAUGAAAUUGGAGACAGAGCAUGUCUUCAUGUGUUCCCUCUGCGAGGAGUUAAAUGAAUUGGAGUUAAGGUAAAAGUUAGCCCCGAGAUUUGUAGGACCAUACCGAGUUUUGGAGCGUAUGAGAGAAGUGGCCUACAAGUUUGAGUUACCCGAAGGACUGUCAGGAGUUCAUGAUGUGUUUCACAUUUCCCAGUUGAAGAAGUGCCAUGCAGAGAUGGCCAAUAUUCCCUUGUAAGGACGCUUGACCCUGGAAAGGAUAAUGAUGUUCCACGAAGUAGAGUAUGGACUUCAUAAGUAUAAGUUUUUACCUCGGUAUGCGGGAAAUCCCACGAGGAUGAAGAGAUGAAGUACUAUUGGAUAUAAAGGAGGUAUGAUGUUGGAAUAUGGAUCAAUGAAAAUUCCGUGAUGAGUCUGAGUAAUCAUGUCCUAGUUUUGGUGCCAAUAGAAGGAAGGAAGACAAUACAAUUGGAUGGAUUUAAGAACACUAGGAAGUUGGAAGUUGGAAUAAUGACCAGUUGCCCAAUGAUAAGUUCAAGGACUAGAAGUGAUGAGAUGUGCCAUAACCCACAGGCCCCAGGACCUGCCAAGAAGCAAGCACAUUCUUGCUGAAGGAAAAACCCUGGAAGUGGAUAUACCUUUGUCGACAGACGAUUUUAUAAGAGUUUGCGCAAAACCUGAGAGUUGUGAAGGAACGAUAGAUGUUUGUCUGGCUUGCAGAAUCAAUGGAUUAUUCCAAACUUGGGUCAUCGACAUGAGAAAUUCUGCAAUGCUUGUGAGGAUGAUCGAGUGUUAGAAUGCGAGAUUCGCUAAACUGUAUACAAGGUAAUGAUUUGGGUGCGGGAUGGAUUGAUCACCAUACCGACUUACUCUUAUUAUUCUCCUUGCUAUAUGGGAUGGUUAAUCUGAGUGACUUACCCAUAGUAGAGCGACGACGAUCGAAAUCUUGUUUAAGCCCUAGAAUGGUAUAGGUAUUUUUCCCUUGUACAAGGCAGCUUUGCCAACCGUAGUUAUACGGUGAGGAUCACCCAGACCCAUUUCCUGCAGGAGAAACCAUAAAUUGUUGACCACCAUGAGAUAUCGAUAGUUGUUUAGUUUUGGCGCCCGACCCAUCAGCUAAGAAGACCCAAUCUCGGAAUAACCUUACCAAGAGGAAAGGAUAGAAGAAUUGAGGAAAAGGUUAUGCCACUACCGGAAGAGCUCAGAGAAGGAAUUUUCUCGAGGAUCUGAGAAGACCGACGCUGUCAAGAAUAAGGAUGGAGUAUAUGAGUUUUGAUAGAACCGUAACCAUGCUUCUAAGGGUGGUAGCACCCCAGACCCCGGAGAUGAUCGAUGUAUUUUGAGGAGACCCCCAAACCCUAACCUUUUUCUUGCUAGCCUCUCCGAAUCUCGAGGACAAGAUUCAUUUCAAGGGUGGUAGGUUUGUAACAUCCCAAAAUUCUAAAUUUUGGAAUGUUAUAAUAAAUAGAUAGAUUUGAUUGAUUGUUUGAUUGAUUGUCUGAAAGUGAGAGAAUUUGAAACUUUUGAAAGUUAAAUGAGAGGGAAUAAAAGGACUUUCCCAAACUUUCAUAUUUGCUUUUUGAUCUCCGUGAAUUCAAAUUCCUUUCAAAUACAAAACCCUUGAGUGAAGAUGAUAUGACUUCUUCCAUUUAAAAAUGAAAAGGGUGUUUGAAAAAAAUAUUUGAAUUCCAUUGGGAAAUAUUUUCUAAUUCAGAAACUUUAUGCAACUCAAUGAUUUUCAUGAGAGAAGAUAAAAUGACUUCUUCAAAUUAUAUGAAAUAUGAGUUGGGAGUUUCAAAGAAUUAAAUUCAAAAUUCUUUUGAAUUUAUUUUCAAUUUGGAGUUAUUUGAGUUUUAUUCAAAUUAUUUUCCUUCAAAAAUAAAAUAUAUAGAAAAUAGGGUAACAUGAUUCCCUACAUUAGAAAAUUGGAGGAAAAUUAAUUUGAAAUCAUUUUGGUAUUUUUUUAAAAUGAUUUUAGUUGGAUUUUAAUAGACCUUUAGCACUCUUUGUUUUAUCUGAAUUUGUGUGGAUUUUAUUUGAACUUAUAAAAAUGUUCACCGUGUAGAAAAUCUUUNNNNNNNNNNNNNNNNNNNNNNNNNNNNNNNNNNNNNNNNNNNNNNNNNNNNNNNNNNNNNNNNNNNNNNNNNNNNNNNNNNNNNNNNNNNNNNNNNNNNNNNNNNNNNNNNNNNNNNNNNNNNNNNNNNNNNNNNNNNNNNNNNNNNNNNNNNNNNNNNNNNNNNNNNNNNNNNNNNNNNNNNNNNNNNNNNNNNNNNNNNNNNNNNNNNNNNNNNNNNNNNNNNNNNNNNNNNNNNNNNNNNNNNNNNNNNNNNNNNNNNNNNNNNNNNNNNNNNNNNNNNNNNNNNNNNNNNNNNNNNNNNNNNNNNNNNNNNNNNNNNNNNNNNNNNNNNNNNNNNNNNNNNNNNNNNNNNNNNNNNNNNNNNNNNNNNNNNNNNNNNNNNNNNNNNNNNNNNNNNNNNNNNNNNNNNNNNNNNNNNNNNNNNNNNNNNNNNNNNNNNNNNNNNNNNNNNNCGCCGCUGCUGCUUCCCCGCUGCUGCCACCGGCUUGCUGCUUCGCCCCGCGCCACUCCCCGCCCUAGCCGCGCCGCCACCCGCCGCUGUCGCCGCUCCUCGCAGUCGCCGGAGCCGCGCCGCCCUCGCCGGAGAUCCGCCGCCGGUUCCUCACCGAAGAACCGCCCUGAACUGGUAUAAAACCGCCCCGGUCCGGUUUAUUUUUCCUUUAUUUUGGUUUUUGUUUAAAAAAACGGUUUAGUUUUUUAGAUUGAUCUAUUUAGAGAACGUUCACUGGUUAGGUAUAGAAAACGAACGUUCACCUUUUAGUUUUUUUUUCUUUUCUGUAAUUUCGGCCAGGGACCUAGAUGUGAAUACUUUAUUUACAGAAUAGUCCCUAUACUUCAAACAAGCACAACUUUUUACUCGUUAGUCCAAAUCCAACGAAACCAACGCCCGCUUCUUCGUUAUGAUCUCCUCUAUCCGGUAAUCCAACUCAAACAUGUUUUCCGAAAAUUUUAAAAUUUGAAUUAGAUCAGAUUUGAAUUCAAACUUCGUUUGAUCAUAACUUGAGUUUCGUAGCUCCGUUUGAGUUGAUUCUUUUUGCAAAUCGAAGCUCUUGAUCUAAACAUUCUAAUAAGGCCAAAUUCACAUAAUUUUGGUGCUGUUAGAAAUUGUUUUAUGUUGCAAGAGUUAUUUGCUUGGUUUCGAUGUUUUCCGAAUUGUUUUCUUCGAUCUUUCUGAUCUUUAGAGUGAUUGCUUAUGUGUGGUUACUAUUGCUUGCUUACGAUAGAUUGACCGGAGUGUGACGGGUAGAUCUAUCAAGAGUUUUGAGUGUGAAUCAUCUUCAUCAACAUUGCAGGCAAGUUCACACUUUGAUCAUACCUUUUUCUACAACCCAGUUUUAUUGCAUUAGAUCAAUCCUCACACAUUGCAUGAUUAGGAUCUAAUUAAACUGUGGGAUGGGAAGUAGAUGAGGUAGUACCUAUCACUUGUAUUAUUAUGAAACCUUUGGGAGUUACUUCUACGUUUGCUUAUUAUGCCAUGCUAUGCUAGUAGACGUGGAUUGGGUGAGUGAUAUCCAUGACAGAUGUGAGUUGAUAAUUUUAAUGGUUUAUCUAAGGGGGCAACUUAAACACACAUCUGGGUGGAUUGAGGCACCUGAUGUCUAUCAGGACUUGCCUGUUUUAUUUUGGACCGCCACCCAGGCUCAAAGGGAUCAUAAGAUCAUUCAUGCUAGAAACUUCCGUGUGCAGCCACAUGCUACUAUGGGCUCUGGCAUAGUCGACUAAGUUGUGCGAACUCUUACGGGGUGGACUAGCAGAUGUAGGGGUUGUAGGUGGUACGGUCUACCCCACAUGUAAGGUGCUAGUGCUUCUAAAAGACUAUGUCUCGGCCAUCCGUUUCUCAAACACCAUGUAGUGCGAGAAAACAAACGGAGGCGAUCGAGUCAUGUGGGGAAAAGUGCGCAAACCUCUGCAGAGUGUACAAACUAAUCAUGAUUAGCCGUGUCCCCGGUUAUGGACAACUUGAGUAUCUAGUACUUGAAUAUCAUGUGAAUCUCAUCACGUUACUUUAAAUGAAUAUUGUUGGGUUUUAAUGAUGUUACUUAAUUGGGAUUGAGAAUGCUGUCAACCAUUCUCAAUGUUCAACAACCACCAUGAUAGUUAAAUAAAUUUAUUCCUUUGUAGUAGGGAAAAAUUGGCUUUUCGCAAAAACCUUAUAACAUAGAGCUUUUCCACCAGCCACAUAUGCAUAUAGUGAUAGCCAUUGUUCAUCAUUUUCUCUAUGGUGUGAACUUGCCAGUACAUUCAAUGUACUGACCCGUUUCGGGCUGCAACGUCUCAUGUUGCAGGAUUAUCUUACGACGAGUAAGUGAUACGUUAGGGUUACGAUUUCUACACUCAACUUUGCCGUUGGUGUUGAUGGGAAUCCACAACCUUGUUGCUUCUGCUCUAUGGAUUGAGGUAAUAGUAUUUACGUUACUUUAUACAUGUGAUUUACCUCUGUUAUAAACCCUUCGAGUACUGUGUGUGUCAGCAUACCGAUCCAGGGAUGACACUUAAGCACAGAGACUUGACCCAUUCGGGUCGGGUCGCUACACACGGAUACUUGAGGUGACAUUGGAGUAUCUAGGUGACAUUAUGGUUUUGGUUGAUUUGUGUCUAAAGGUGUUAUUCUAGUACGAACUCUAGGAUAGAUCGAACGGAAAGAAUAGCUUUUUGCUAUUUUACUACGGACUCUUGAAUAGAUCGAUCAUAAAGAAUAACUUUGAGGUGGUUUUGUACCAUACAAUAAUCUCUUUGUUGCAUGUUGAGGGAUUGUUAUAUGAUCCAAUUAUGUUAUUAUUGUUGAGAGAACUUGCACUAGUGAAUGUAUGAACCCUAGGCCUUGUUUCAACACAUUCCAAUACCGUUUUCGCUCACUUUUAUCAUUAGUUACCUUGCUGUUUUUAUAUUUUCAGAUUACAAAAACCUAUAUCUACCAUCCAUAUUGCACUUGUAUCACCAUCUCUUCACCGAACUAGUGCACCAAUACAAUUUACCAUUGUAUUGGGUGUGUUGGGGACACAAGAGACUCUUUGUUAUUUGGUUGCAGGGUUGUUUGAGAGAGACCAUCUUCAUCCUACGCCUCCCACGGAUUGAUAAACCUUAGGUCACUCACUUGAGGGAAAUUUGCUAUUGUCCUACAAACCUCUGCACUUGGAGGCCCAAAAAUGUCUACAAGAAGAAGGUUGUGUAGUAGACAUCAAGCUCUUUUCUGGUGCCGUUGCCGGGGAGGUUACGUGCUUGAAGGUAUAUCUUUAGACCUUGUAAUUGAAUCUUUUAGUUUCUUGUUUUAUCACUAGUUUAUUAUAUAAAAGAAAACUACAAAAAAUGGAAUUAAGGUUGCCUCAUAUGCAUCAUCUUUUUAACGUCUUUCGUGAAAAUAAGGAUUCCGAUAAUUGUGCCAAAGUGUUAGAAGAAGAAUGUAUUAAAAUGUUUGGCACUAGAUCUUUGGAUGAUGAGCAUGAUUGGAAUGUUGUUAGUAUGAAUUCUUUGAAUACCCAUGAUGCUAAUGAUAUGCAAAGCCACAAGCUUGGGGAUUCUAUGUUUGAUGAAGAUGAUAUUUUCUCUCCCCCAAGUUUUGAUGAGCAAAUUUGUUAUGAUGAAAGCAUGCCACCUAUCUAUGAUGAUAAUUGUGAUGACACGUAUGCUAUAAAGAAUAAUUAUAACCAUGAAACUUCUCAUCUUGAUUUUAAUUUUCAAUCCCAUGAUAGUUAUUUUUUUGAGUUUGCUCCCACUACUAUUCAUGAGAAGAAAUUUGCUUAUGUGGAGAGUAAUAAAAAUUAUAUGCUUGUAGAUCAUGAAAUGAAUGCUUUAUGUGAUGGUUAUAUUUUUGAAUUCAUUCAUGAUGCUACUAAAAAUUAUUAUGAGGGAGAAAUAUAUGCUUGUAAGAAUUGCAAUAAUAUCAAGUUUUCUCUCUAUGUGCUUAAAGUUUUAAAGUUAUUCUUGUUUUGCCUUCCUAUGCUAGUUGAUUAUUGUUCCCAUAAGUUGUUUAAUCACAAAAUCCCUAUGCAUAGGAAGUGGGUUAGACUUAAAUGUGCUAGUCAUAUUCUUCAUGAUGCUCUCUUUAUGUUUCAAUUCUUAUCUUUUAUGUGAGCAUCAUUGAAAUCAUCAUGCCUAGCUAGGGGCGUUAAACGAUAACGCUUGUUGGGAGGCAACCCAAUUUUAUUUUUGUUCCUUGCUUUUUGUUCCUGUUUAGUAAUAAUUAAAUCAUCUAUCCUCUGUUAUGAUUGUGUUUUUUAUGUUUUAAUUAGUGUUUGUGCCAAGUAAAGACUUUAGGAUCUUCUUGGGUGAUUGUUAUUUGAUCUUGCUGUAAAAAACAGAAAGUACACGCUCACGAGAAUAAUUUUCAUUUUUUACCAGAGAGCGAUAAAUACCAAUUCCACUUGCAGUAGAUUAAAAAACAAAUUUCCUAGGACUACCUAAUUUCUAAGGAUUUUUGGAGUUACAGAAGUAUUCGAAACCUACAGAUUACUACAGACUUUUCUGUUAACGAGAGAUUCUGUUUUCUAUGUGUUGUUUGCUUAUUUUGAUGAAUCUAUGAGUAGUAUAGGAGGGUAUGAACCAUAGAGAAGUUGGAAUACAGUAGGUAUUACACCAAUAUGAAUUUAUAAUGAGUUCACAACAGUACCAAAAGUGGUGAUUUAUUUUCUUAUACUAACGGAGCUUACAAGUUUUCUGUUGAGUUUUAUGUUGUGAAGUUUUCAAGUUUUGGGUAAAUAUUCGAUGGACUAUGGAAUAAGGAGUGGCAAGAGCCUAAGCUUGGGGAUGCCCCGGAUGGCAUCCCCUCUUUCGUCUUCGUUCAUCGGUAACUUUACUUGGAGCUAUAUUUUUAUUCACCACAUGACAUGUGUUUUGCUUGGAGCGUCAUUUUAUUUUCUUUUGUUUUGCUUGCUGUUUGAAUAAACUACCAAGAUCUGAAAUUCUUAAAUGUUAGAGAGUCUUCAUAUAGUUACAUAAUUAUUCGACUACUCAUUGAUCUUCACUUAUAUCUUUUGGAGUAGUUUGUCAUUUGCUCUAGUGCUUCACUUAUAUCGUUUUGGAGCACGGCGGUGGUUUUAUUUUGAAGAAAUAGAUGAACUCUCAUGCUUCACUUAUAUUAUUUUGAGAGUCUUUAGAACAACAUGGCAAUUUGCUUGGCUUAUAAAAUUAGUCCUACUAUGAUGGGCAUUCAAGAUGGGUAAAAUAAAAACUUCCAUAUAGAGUGCAUUGAAUACUAUGAGAAGUUUGAUACUUGAUGAUUGUUUUGAGAUAUUAAGAUGGUGAUAUUAGAGUUAUGCUAGUUGAGUAGUUGUGAAUUUGAGAGAUACUUGUGUUAAAGUUUGUGAUUCCUGUAGCAUGCACGUAUGGUGAACCGUUAUGUGAUGAAGUCGGAGCAUGAUUUAUUUUUUGAUCGUCUUCCUUAUGAGUGGCAGUUGGGGACGAGCGAUGGUCUUUUUCUACCAAUCUAUCCCCUAGGAGAAUGCGCGUAGUACUUUGUUUAGAUAACUAAUAAUUUUUUGCAAUAAUUAUGUGAGUUCUUUAUGACUAAUGUUAAGUCCAUGAAUUAUACGCACUCUCACCCUUCCACCAUUGCUAGCCUCUCUAGUACCGUGCAACUUUCACCGGUAACAUAAACCCACCAUUUAGCUUCCUCAAAACAACCACCAUACCUACCUAUUAUGGCAUUUCCAUAGCCAUUCCGAGAUAUAUUGCCAUGCAACUUUCCACCAUUCCGUUUAUUAUGACACGCUCCAUCAUUGUCAUAUUGCUUCGGUGAUCAUGUAGUUGACAUUGUAUUUGUGGCAAAGCCACCGUUCAUAAUUCUUUCAUACAUGUCACUCUUGAUUCAUUGCACAUCCCGGUACACCGCCGGAUGAUACGUCUCCGUCGUAUCUACUUUUCCAAACACUUUAGCCAUUGUUUUGGACUCUAACUUGCAUGAUUCGAAUGGAACUAACCCGGACUGACGCUGUUUUCAGCAGAAUUGCCAUGGUGUUACUUUUGUGCAGAAAUAAAAGUUCUCAGAAUGACCUGAAAAUCAACGGAGAAUUAUUUUGGAAUAUAUAAAAAAUACUGGAAGAAGAAUCCACGUCAGGGGGCCUCCACCUGUCGACGAGGGUGGGGGGCGCGCCCCCUACCUCGCGGGCCCCCUGACGCUCCACUGACCUCAACCUUGACUCCAUAUAUUCACUCUCAGGGAGAAAAAAGCCAUAGAGAAGGAUUCAUCACGUUUUAUGAUAUGGAGCCGCCGCCAAGCCCUAAACUCUCUCGGGAGGGCUGAUCUGGAGUCCGUUCGGGGCUCCGGAGAGGGGAAUCCGUCGCCAUCGUCAUCAUCAACCUUCCUCCAUCACCAAUUUCAUGAUGCUCACUGCCGUGUGUGAGUAAUUCCAUCGUAGGCUUGCUGGACGGUGAUGGGUUGGAUGAUAUUUAUCAUGUAAUCGAGUUAGUUUUGUUAGGGUUUGAUCCCUAGUAUCCAUUAUGUUCUGAUAUUGAUGUUGCUAUGACUUUGCUAUGCUUAAUGCCUGUCACUAGGGCCCGAGUGCCAUGAUUUCAGAUAUGAACCUAUUAUGUUUUCAUCAAUAUAUGAGAGUUCUUGAUCCUAUCUUGCAAGUCUAUAGUCACCUACUAUGUGUUAUGAUCCGGCAACCCCGAAGUGACAAUAGUCGGGACCACUCCCGAUGAUGACCGUAGUUUGAGGAGUUCAUGUAUUCACUACGUGUUAAUGCUUUGGUCCGGUACUCUAUUAAAAGGAUGCCUUAAUAUCCCUUAGUUUCCAAUAGGACCCCGCUGCCACGAGAGGGUAGGACAAAAGAUGUCGGGUGGUAGGUGCGACAUAUGCCAACGGGUGGCUUAUCAUUGUGGGAGCCAGUAAGACGUCGCCGGUGCCUGGAAGCGGGAUGAGGUGAAGACAUGCACGCCGGCGAAUCUUACUCAGCUUCGGGGCUCUCCGUGGAGAUAACACCCCUACUGCUGCUCUGCGGCGUCUUCGCAUGAUCACUAGAUGAACAAGUAGCUACACGAUGCUCCUUGAGCUAUUUGGCGAGAGGAGGAAGAAGGGCUCUGCCCGCUCUCUUCUCCUCCCUAUGUGGUGUUUAAAACUAGCAGGGAUCAACCCUUUGCAUGGGUGUCCCGGGGGGUUUAUAUAGGCCCACCCCCCGGGGAUACAAAGGUAAUCCGGCUGGGUGCGGGGCCCAGCCGUCUGUGUCUACACUCGCCGGCUUCUGCGCCGGCUGCUGGGGCCCGCCGGCUGGUGGGUCCCGCCGGCUGCUGGCUCCUUGGUCGACAGGCAGGCCCCACUGUCUAGGGCCUUGUCGGCGGCUGGUUACUGUUGCUCAAUCCUGGUGACGAAGGCUUCGCCGGGGUGGGCGUGGCUACAGUGCCGCCGUCCGGCGGGUGAUCGCUGUAGCCUCACCGCGUCUUGUCUCCUUAAUGGGGCGUCCCCUUCGAGGGGGUGGCAAACCGGCUGUGGAGAGCCGGCUCUGUCUUGGGCCGACUGGGGGAGGCCUGGCUGCCUUCGGGUGUCUCUCUGCCUGAAGGGGCCCACCGCCCGUGGGCCACUCUGGCGGCCCGUCGUGGAUGACAUCAGGGUCAUCAUGGCAACAGUGCCGUGCCCGACGGGUCAUGGCCACCCGUACGGCGCACUGUGCCAGGCGUGCUCUAGGAUUCGGGGGUGGCAAGCUUUACUGUAGCCACGCCCCAUCACAUCGCCGUCAUGUGGGUGCAGACUUCGAGGGUACGAUCUUCACCGCUUUAUGGGAGCCGGCUUCUUGGAGUCGGCCUUCUUGGAGCCGGCUCCUCAGAGCCGGCCCUCCCGCGACUUUUUUCAUGAAGGCUGAAGUCAGGCCGCCUUCCGAUAGUCGGCCUGGGAAACAACCGGCGAGGGGAAGGCGGCCCCAUCUCUUGGAUUCUUGAGGGCCGGAUGGGCUCGUAAUAAUUUUUUCAGAAGGGCCAGGGGGAGCCGGCUUGGCUACCCAUGGUUAUUUCCUCCGACAGUAGUCCCCGAAGCUGGCGAGCUUCAAAACUGACAAAGGGACGAGAAGCUUGGUCAGCUUCCUACCCUGAGGGGUCAGUUGUGCUUGUGCGCACCGUCUUCGGAAAGCCCCGUUUAUCGUAGGCUGGAGCGCGGUCGACCUGCGAGCUGACCGUAGGCCAUCCCGCGGGCCACGUGGCAAGGAAAUCCUGACGGUGCACGCGCGCAACGGGACGCUGCCGCAGGCCCGGGCCCGCCACUCCUAGGCCUCGGCACGAGCGCGGAUCUUCUGCGGCCCACGCGGACCGCUCGCCUUCCCGCGGCGAUUUUAUUACGUCUUCAAGGCGCAAUAAUCGCGGGACGUGGGGGAGUGGGCGCAGUUGAUCGCCAUGUUCCCCCACGCCGCGCCUCCUCGGCUCCGCCGCGCCGGUCUAUAAGUAGGGGGAGGAGAGGGAGCGGCAGAGGCUCGCACGCUCUCCCUCGCUCCGCCCCUCCUCGCCUUCCUUCUUCUUUCCGCCGCCGCUGCCACCCAUUGCUGCGCCGUUCCGCCGUCGCAUCGUCUUGCUCCUCGCCGCAUUGCUCCCAUGGCGCUCUCAAGCUCGUGGGAUGGCUCUAACGUCCAUGAAGACCACGUCGAGUUCCUUCGCCGGACAGGGCGCCUGCCGGGCGAGAACUUCGUGCGGGUUCGUCAAGCGCCGGCGAGGGAGAUUUCGCCGGCACCGGAGGAGGGUGAGCAGGUGAUCUUCCGCUUGCACUGCCUGCGCGGCUUCGGCCUCCCGGCAAGCAGAUUCCUUCGAGCCUUCCUCGAAUUCUACCACCUCCAGCCGCAUCACCUCACGCCCAACGCGGUGAUGCUGCUGUCGGCCUUCGUCACCCUGUGCGAGGGCUUCCUCGGGGUCCUCCCCACGCUCAAGCUUUGGGGGGAAUUCUUCCAGAGCAAGCUCGACACUGUUGUCGCGGGCGUGCCCGCCCCCUGCGGAGCCUAUAUUGCCAUGAGGCGGACGGGCGAGAACAACCCGUUCCCGCCCAUCCCGCUGAUCCAGUCGGUGAAACUCUGGUAGAAGUCUUACUUUUACGUGAAGAACGUCGCCCAACAAGGCGACUACGUCAACCUGCCGGCUUAUGUAGCCGGCCCGUCGGCUGGGAGGCGACCUUCGUGGAGCUACCCGGCCAGGUCGUUGUCUCAGGCCGGGAACGCAGCCGUCUCCCGGCUUCGGGUGAUGAUCCAGUCGGAGGGCCUGACCGGAGCCGACUUGGUGGCCGCCUUCGUGGAGUGCCGGGUACUUCCCCUCCAAGGCCGGCCUCACAUGAUUUGUCAGAUGAGCGGCCACUUCGACCCGUGCCGGCUGAGCACCAAGGAGAUGCCUCAUGCAGAGGUGUCUUACAUGGUGAACUACAUCUCCAACGGCAAGCUCGCCGAGGAUUGGCGAUACGGCAAGGAGCCGUAUUCCCGCGCCAACCCUCCGCCUGCCGUAAGUUUUUCCUUCCUUUCUUCUUUUGGUAGCCGGCCUCAUGAUAGCCGGCCUCUGAUCAGUCGGUUUGCCCUUAGCAGAACCCUCUUCUUCCACCGACGACCGGGGCCGCAGGGGUAGAGCGCCAGCUCCUCCCCGACCGCACGAUGGACGACGCCGACGAUCCGGACUUGGGAGCAGCCGCCAUGGAAGAUGCCAUCGUGGGGGAAAGCUAUGAGGCCGGAGGCCCUAGGCUCGGGGCCGGCUUCGAGGACUGGCCGGACGAUGUCGAGGUCGAAGUCGCCCCGCGCCACCAGUCGGCGCUUGAUCAUCAAGGUGCGGGCUCGUCCGCCGCGCCGGCUGCUUGCGGCGGCGCGCAGAAGCGCCGGGCCGCGUCGAUCCUCUUCGGCAGCCGGCCGAAGAAAUCCAAGGCUCCCACGGUGGUGACCAAGCGGGAUGAGGCGGGGGCGAAGGCGGCCCGCUUCCGCAAGGCGGUAAAACAGCCGCAGGCAAUCUCGGCGUAAGUCGUCCUCGUAUAUAUACUUUUUGUUAUCCCUUUCGACCGAAACUCUUCUAAACCUUUCUUGGCUCGCCGGACAGGGCACCACUUUCCCUUGAGCGGGGUCCCGGCGGCUCCGUAGUCGGGCCGACUAGAGGGUCUUCAGGCUCCCGCCGCGUGGAUCCCCGCGCCGACCUUAGGGAGGCCAUAGAGCGGAACGCACGGGAGGCGCGGGAGGAGCGGGAGGCGGCGGAGCGAAGGACCACCCAGGCGGCGAAGGAGCAGGCCGAGGCGGCAGCCAAGGCCCGGGCGGAGGCGGCAGCCGCGAAGACGGAGGCGGAGGCCUCGCACAACCGGCCUCCGCUGCUCGUCGUUCCCCUUCGCGCCGUGGCCCCCGGCAUCCCAGUGCCCCCGUUGGAGGAGGUCGACCAAGACCCGCCGGUGAUGGAGAGGAGGGAGGGCUCCGUGAUCUUCGUGGAGGGGGCGCCACAGGCAGCACCAACCGGAGCGGGCCAAGGCGGCCAAUCGGCUGCGGUGCCAGAGCAGCCGGCCGGGGGCGAGCCGGAGGCAGGGGCCGGCCUCGAGGUGCAGCCAGCAUUGCGCUGGCACGCAGGGGGUGGCACCUCCGCGCCGGAACCGCACCAAGCUACGGGCGCCGGCCAGACGGCGGAGGCCCUGGAGGCGGCCAGCACCAGCGCAUCCGAGUGGACCCCUAGCAGGGGGACGGGUGAGCUGAACGCGGCGGCCCAGGAGGUCCGGAGCCGGCUUCAAGCUCAGGCCGCCUCGCUGCAGCGAUACACCCAAGAGUUCCUUGCGACGCGGGCCGUCAUCUGGGUGAGUCUUCUGUCCUGGGUUGUUUUGUUCUUUGAUUUCUUCCGUGGGGGCGCGUCAGCGCACCCACUGGGUGUAGUCCCCGAGAUUCGGGCUGACUGCUGAGCAGUCGGGUCGGAUCUUCCUUGACGACUAUCUUAUUCUCGCCUCCUGUCUGAUUUUCUAGGAGUAUCAUAACCUCCGCGUUGCCGCCUUCAACUCCCAGGCUCAGGAGCUGGGUCGGAGAACCGAGGAUCUGACCAGCAGCCGGAGUGCGUGCUUUGUUUCGUUCAUCUCCUGUGGGGGCGCGUCAGCGCACCCACUGGGUGUAGUCCCCGAGAUUCGGGCCGACUGCUGAGCAGCCGGGUCGGAUCUUCCUUGAUGACUUCUUCCUUAUUAAUUUUUUCCUGUCUUCAUGCUUGCAGGAGCCAAUGCCGACUUGAGGGAGCAGCUCAGCGGGGCCUAGGCCGCCCUUCGCACCAAGGAAGCUGAGUACAGCGCCUUGGUCCUGGAGCGUGACCGCCUGGCCAAGAAGUUGGCCGACCAGGAGGAGAGCCACAAGGCGGCUCUGAAAGAAGCUUAGGACAGCGAGAACGCCCUGAGGGCCGAGUUCAAGAUCAAAGCGGCGGGCUGGGCUGAGUCGAAGCAGGCAUUGAGCGAGGGCUUCGGUCGUAUCGAGGAUCUGAUCGAUGGUAAGCCACCUUCUUCACUCCUUGCUUGCACCUUGAUCCCUGAUUUGUAUUCCGACUUGUGCUGCUUUUUGUUCUCCGUACAGACUACUUUCCUGGCUACUCCGUCUUCGCAGCCCAAACCAUCGAGGCCCACCGCGAGGCGCUCCGGCAGGCGGGGGCUGAAAUCACGUCGGGCGCGGGCCGGACGCUCGAGGAGCAACUCUUGGCGGUCCAAGCCCGGCUGCAGCCGGCUCACCGUAUGCUCCGCCGCCUCCAGCGCGCCGGGGCGCAGGUGUUGGCCGCCCUCUGGCCAAGCGAGACGAUUCCCCGCACCCCGAGUCAGACUACCGACUGGCUGGAGGUUGCGGUUGGCCGCUUCGAGGCCUGGAAGGCAUCGGCAGCCCGGCUUGGAGCUGGGCGGGCGCUGGAGUUCGUCCGAGCCUGGUAUCUGGGGCUGAACCUGGACCAACUGCGCACCUGGCGGCUGGAGGCCGACGAAGAGCUGGAGGAGGUACGGCCGGCUAUCGCUCAGCGCACCUCGACGAUCGCCGAGUGCACUGAUAUCAGCGUCUUCGCUCCUGAAAUUAAUGACGACGGUGUUGCCCAGCCGAAGGAGUGGUUCGGGCUGAACCCGGCAGCGGGUGAGGACUCGGCAGAGGAGAUCGCCUCCAGCGAUGAAGGCGAAGACGACGAAGGAGAGGAGAGCGAAGAUGUUGAGCCGGCCGGUGAAGCGGCCAGCCAGCCUCAGCCCGAUCGUGCCUCCAGCAACAAGGUGCAUGCUAGCGCGCCCUCUGCGGGAGGCGGUGAUCAUGCCGAGGUUCACCAGCCGGCCACUCCUCCAGCCAGCACUGCCGUCUCCACCGACCUGCCCGACUCGCCAGUCGCUCCCUUGGCUUAAUCUGCCGUCCUUGUUUUUUCCUGCUUGUUGCCUUUUGAACAAUUUUAUUAAACUUGCACAGUUCCACUCAUUGGGGGUGUAUUCAAACUAUGUUGAAUGCUGGCCUUUUGAAGGUCUUUUAUGUAAAUAUUAUUGUGUGCGUGUUUGGCUUCCAUUUACGUAUGCUUUUUGUCCUUAGGCUGUUUCCUUUGCCGCCUUCCCCUUUGGGGAGGUAAGUACUCGAGCUUUUUUAGACUGAAGUGAGGUGAAUGGAAGCCGGCCGACCGCCUACUCUGGUAGUCGGUCGGCGGUGGGAGAAAAACCGGCUUUUGUUAUAUUAGUCGGUUAGUCCCUAGCCGUUUUUCGUGUGGGCGUCCUUUCCUGCCUUUAACUGUUGCCAGCCGGACAUCCGGUUCUUCGAACUGCGAGUUUUGGCAAGAGAAGGCUUGGGUGCCAGCACACUACUUGUCUGACCGCGGGUAGGACUUCUAAUAUAACGCAAGGCGGCCAGUCCCCGGGCCGACUAGUCGAACCCGGUGCCGGAUGAAAAAAAGUAAAUGAAAUGACAAGGUCAUAAGCAUGAUACUCUUCAUUCAUAGAUAAAAGAUGGCAGUCCCCGAGCUCUCCUCGGGGGGCCUAUUGUCUCAUACUUAAUACAAAAGUUAGUGUGAUACAUACUGUAUUUCAACUGUAAAAUCUUCGGAGGAGGUUGGCGUUCCAUGAUCGUUUCGACUCCUUGCCGAAGUCGUCUCUCUUUCAUGCCUUCGGCUUCUGCGCGUCGAUUAGGUAGUAAGAGUCGUUGCCUAAAGCUCUGCUGAUGACAAAGGGGCCCUCCCAAGGGGCCGAGAGCUUGUGCUGGCCGGCUGUUCGCUGGAUCAGCCGGAGCACAAGAUCGCCCUCUUGGAAUGAUCUUGGCUUGACCUUCUGGCUGUGGUAGCGGCGCAGGCCCUACUGAUAGAUGGCGGACCGGCUGAGGGCUAACAGCCGUCCCUCUUCCAGCAGGUCGACGCCGUCUUCUCGUGCUUCCCUAGCCUCCGCCUCCAUGUACAUGGUUACCCGAGGUGAAUCAAACUCGAUGUCGGUUGGGAUGACCGCUUCGGCACCAUACACGAGGAAGAAAGGAGUGAAGCCGGUUGACUUGUUUGGGGUAUUGCACAGACUCCAGAGGACGGCCGGUAGCUCAUCAAGCCAGCAGCCGGCUGAACGCUCCAGUGGUACGACCAGUCGGGGCUUGAUGCCAGAAAGGAUGAGGCCAUUGGCUCGCUCGACCUGGCCGUUUGACUGCGGGUGGGCAACGGAAGCUAAGUCCAGCCGGAUGCCUUGCGUCGCGCAGAAAUGUGCCAAGGCUCCCUUGGCGAAAUUCGUGCUAUUGUCAGUGAUGAUGCUGUGUGGCACGCCGUACCGAGUUGUUAUGUCUGUGAUGAAUGUCACGGCAGUCGGCCCAUUCAGCUUCUUGAUCGGCUUUGCCUCAAUCCAUUUGGUGAAUUUGUCCACAGCGACAAGCCGAUGUGUCAUGCCGCCGCGCGCCAUCUUGAAUGGGCCCACCAUGUCCAGUCCCCAAACGGUGAAGGGCCAAGUGAGGGGAAUGGCCUUGAGUGCUGAAGCCGGCAUGUGUUGCUUGGAGCUGAAAAGUUGGCACCCUUUGCAAUGUUUAACUAACUCCUUGGCGUCAUCCAAAGCAGUCGGCCAAAAGAAGCCAUGACGGAAGGCUUUGGCGACGAGUGAUCUUGAGGCCGCAUGGUGGCCGCAUUCUCCUUGGUGGAUAUCUCUGAGGAUUGCGAUGCCCUUCUCUUGCUCGACGCAUCGCUGGAGGACUCCAGUGACACUGCGCUUGACGAUCUCUCUGUUGAUGAUUGUGUAUGCUCCGGCUCGGCGUUGGACUUGUCUUGCCUCUGUUUCGUCAGCCGGCAGAUCUUGGUUUAUUAGGAACUUGAGGAUGGACUGAGCCCAUAAUGGAGCUGCGACUUCUUCUAUUGCCAACACGGCUACUGCGACCAGGGCGGGCGGGCUGGGUGGUGAAACGCUGGAGUCGGCCGCCGCCUGUUGUGUUGGAGCAGUCCCCGGGCCGACUACCGCAGUCCCCGAGCCGGGUGUGGCAGUCCCCGGGUCGGGCGUAACUACGGAAGUCCCCGAGGCGCCUACUGACGUCCCCGGGCCGACUAUCGAAGUCCCCGGGUCACCUACUUGGUUGUUCGAGCCGGACCCGGCCGCGUCGGGGUCAGGCGGCACGAAGAUGGAAUCGGACUCUGGAGACGGCUUGAUAGACGUCUUGAGGAGGCGUUGCAAAGAGACACCGGUUGGUAUUGCCUGCCGAGUGGAGCCUAUUCGAGCCAGGGUAUGAGCUGGCUCGUUGUCGGCUCUUGGUACGUGGAGGAACUCGCAUCCUUCAAAGUACCCGCUGAUCUGCUGAACGAGGAAGCGGUAGCUUGCCAUAUUUGCGUCCUUGGCGUCCCAGUCGCCGGAUGAUUGCUGGACCACCAAGUCCGAGUCGCCAUAACAUAGGAUCCGGUGAAUGCCGAGCUCUUUGGCAAGCCGGAGCCCGUGUAUGAGUGCCUCGUACUCGGCCACAUUGUUGGAGGCGGCAAAGUGAAUUUGCAGCGUGUAUCUAAGCUUGUCGCCUUUGGGAGAGGUGAGGACGAUGCCGACUCCCAAGCCGGUGCGCGUCUUGGACCGAUCAAAGUGCAUGCGCCAAUGAGUGGAGUCGGGAGCCGGCGGUAGGUACUGGGUCUCGGCCCAGUCGACGAGGAAGUCGGCCAAUGCUUGGGACUUGAUGGCGGUGCGAGGCUGGUAGAAGAUCGUGUAAGGGGCCAGCUCGAUGGCCCAUUUCGCCACCCGGCCGGAUGCAUGCCGGCUGCCUAUGAUCUCGGCAAGCGGGGCGGUGCAUACGAUCGUGAUGGGAUGCUCUUAGAAGUAGGGCUUCAGCUUCUUGGCGGCGAAGUACACGCCAUAGCACAUCUUCUGGUAGUGCGGGUAGUUCUGCUUCGAGAUAGAUAGUACCUCGCUCAAAUAGUACACCGGCCUCUGGACCGGUUGGGCUCGGCCCUCUUCUGGGCGUUGGACUACGAUGACGGUGCUGACCACCCGGCUGGUUGCGGCAAUGUAGAGGAGCAUGGGCUCUUUCUUAGUCGGCGCCGCCAGGACCGACGGUGUGGCCAGCAUCUUCUUCAGCUCGUGAAAAGCUUGGUCGGCUUGGUCAUUCCACUCGAAGUGAGUGGUCUUCUUCAUGAGGCGGUAGAGGGGGAGAGCUUUCUCUCCGAGCCGGCUGAUGAAGCGGUUCAGGGAGGCCAAGCAUCCGGUAAACUUCUGGAUGUCUCGAAGUUUGGUGGGAAUCACCAUUCUCUCAAUGGCCUUGAUUUUCACUGGGUUGCAUUCGAUGCCACGUUCGGAGACCAGGAAGCCUAGGAGCUGGCCGGCUGGCACUCCGAACACGCAUUUCUCGGGGUUGAGCUUGAUUUGGAACCGGCGUAGGUUCUCAAAUGUUUCCUUGAGGUCUUCCAUCAAGGUGCCGCACUUCUCCGUCUUCACCAUAAUGUCGUCUACGUAGACAUGGGCGUUUCUGCCGAGCUGCUUGAGGAGGCACUUCUGCAUGCAACACUGAAAAGUGGCACCGGCAUUUCUCAAGCCGAAUGUCAUAAUCAGGUAGCAGAAGGCUCCAAAUGGCGUGAUGAAGGCAGUCUUCAGGCGGUCAGCCGGAUCUAACUUUAUCUGGUGGUAUCCUAAGUAAGCAUCCAAGAAACUCAACAGCUCGCAUCCGGCCGUGGAGUCUAUCACUUGGUCAAUCCUCGGCAGGGCAAAGGGAUCUUUGGGGCAGGCCAUGUUGAGGCUCGUGUAGUCUAUGCACAUGCGCCACUUAUUGUUCUUCUUUAAUACGAGGACCGGGUUGGCAAGCCACUCUGGAAAGAAAACUUCCAUAAUGAAGCCGGCUGUCAGAAGCCGGGCUAUCUCCUCUCCCACAAUCCUUCUUUUCUCCUCUGACAGUCGGCGGAGGGGUUGUUUGACUGGUUUUGCGUCUUCUCGGACGUGUAGUUUGUGCUCGGCGAAUUCCUUCAAAACACCCGACAUGUCCUUGGGGGACCAUGCAAAGAUGUCCCGAUUCUCACGGAGGAAAUCGGCGAGCUCGCCUUCCUAUUUGCUGUUUAGGUUUGCCCCGAUGACAGCAAACCUCUCUGGGUGCUCGGGGUCAAGAGGUAUCUUCUUCGUCUCCUUGGCCGGCUGGAAAGAUCCUUGGGCAUCAUACUCCUUGGGAUCGGGGGACAGGGCCUACUGUUUGCCGGCCAUGGCCACGACUCGAUCCAACAUCUUCUUCUCUUCGGCAAUCACAAGGGACUCGGCCAGCCGGCUGCUGGCUGCCGUGCACUCGGAAGACUUCUUGUAAUCGCCGGCUAUGGUGAUGACGCCCUUGGUGCUCGGCAUCUUCAUCUUGAGGUAUGCAUAGUGGGGAACCGCCAUGAACCUGGCCAAGGCAGGUCGGCCAAGCAAUGCAUGGUAGGGGCUCUCCAGGUCCACCACUUCAAACCAGAUCGCUUCCCGGCGGAAAUGCUCCUUGUCCCCGAAGAGUACAUCAAUCUUGAUCUUGCCAAUGGGGGCGCAGGACAUGCCGGGUACGAUGCCAUGGAACACUGUCCGAGUAGGCAUGAGUUGCUUCGUCUUGAUGUUCAGCUUCUCCAGGGUGUCACGGUAUAAGAUGUUGAUGCUGCUCCCACCGUCUAUCAACACGCGGGAGAAACGGGCGGCGCAUCUGUCCGUUGCAAGGGUGGCAUCCAGAACCAACGCAUAAGAGCCGGGAGAUGGCAUCACCUUUGGGUGGUCGGCCCGGCUCCAGCUGAUAGGUUUUUCUGACCAGUUCAUGUGCUCGGCGGGGUUGGCAGCGACCAUGCUGACUUCCUGGUGCUCUCAGCAUUUGCUGCGCUGGUCUUCAGGCUGGCUUGUAAAGACGACAUAGGUGGCAUGCUCGUCGGGGAACUCAUCAUGCACGGCUCCGACUGCGGGCCGAACGGUCGGCGGCUGCGGGGCCGGAGGCGGCGGACCGGCAGGCGGAGGCGGCACGAGCGCUUCGCCUUUGGAGAUUUGGGUGAGCCAAUGGCACUUCCGGGUUGUGUGGUUGGACGGCUUCGCGCCGCUGUGGAACUUUCACGGGGCGUCGAGAGUUUACUCGUAGGAGAAGGCUGGCUGCCAAGCCGGCCUACCGCCCUUGGAUUUCUUGGGCGCGGGCCGCCCUUCGGGCUGCUCGUCUUCGACUGAGGCCACCUGCCGACUGGCGGGAGGCGGCGCAGGGCCCUUGCGCUUGUGGUCGUUCGGGUGUGGGCGUCGGCCGGAAUCCCCAGCCGGCGUCUUGGGCGCUGGGUUGAGUACCUUCCCGGACGCGUCUACUCGGAGCUCGGUCUUCAUUGAGGAGUCGGCGGUGGCGUACUUGUCCGCUAUGUCCAGAAGCUCGUCGAGGGUAGUCGGCUCGUCGCAGAGAAGCUUGUGCUUGAGGAGGGUGCCUUCUCGGCACCCGACAGUGAAGUAUUCUAUGGCUUGCACCUCGUGCACCCCUUCGCAAGAGUUGCGGAGCUCGGCCCAAUGCGUGAGGUAAUCGCGAGUAGACUCGGCGGGGCCUUGUACGCACAAGGAGAGCUGUCUGGGCUUGGGAGCCCGCUUGUAGGUGCUGGUGAAGUUGCAGACGAAAGCUUCUGUGAAAUCUAGCCAGCUGUUGAUGCUGUAUGGCUUGAGGCUGUUGAGCCAGGUCCGCGCCGUGCCUUGCAGCAUGAGGGGCAUGUACUUCACAGCAACACGCCUGUUGCCAUUGGCUAUGCUAACCACCGUGGAGUAGUCGAUCAACCAAUCUUCCGGCUUCACGGAGCCGUUGUACUUGGGCGUGUCUCUUGGGAGCGAGAACCCUUUGGGGAAGGGCUCGUCGCGGAUGCGGGGGCCAAAGCAAGGCGGGCCGACAUCGUCUUCUUCUUCCAGCGCCAGGGAUCGCGCCAGGCGGUUGAUCCGAUGGCGGGCGUCGUUCUCGCCGACUCCUUCGCAGCGACCUAGCCGGCCGCUGAGAGUCGGAUGCGCAACAGGAGGCGGGGUGGGAUAUCUCUCUCCAUGGGGCCGAGGCGGAGGUGGGUUGCCUCGCCACUCCACGGCCCGGGGGUGGCCUUCUGCGUCUCGCUCGAUGGAGAUUCAGGUUUGGCUUCGGCUGGCAGCCGGCUCUUUCUCGCGCCGCGCGCGGGUUCUACCCGUAGUCGGCGUCCGGGACAUCGCGCCGUGAUCUCGGCGCGGGGGAGGGCUUUCCGCGCGGGCGUCGGCUUCGUGCCGCUGCAUGGCUGCAUCGAUUAGCUCCUGGAUGCGUCGGGUCAUGUGGGGGAGUUCUUCGGCCCCCAGUCCGUCUAGCUCGUGUACGGCCGCCUGGGCGGCGUGCAGGUUCUCGAGUGGAGUGGCGUAGACUAGGCGGUCGACUCCUAACAUGUCGGCGACGACAGCGCCGCGCUGUCUGACAACGCCGACCCGGCUGGGCCCGCCUGGGGGCGGCGUGCCAAAGGCGGCGCGGUCGGCUUCGCGUCGGUGAGCCUCAGCGAGGCGUCUCAUGGAAACCAACUUCCGGCCCUCCGCGAGGAGGGCGAGGCGGCGAGCCUCCAGUGCUUCAGCGUCGGCAUCAGCCAGGAGGGGGAUGGACAAGUCGUGGACCGCCGCGUGCGGGGCGUCGUGGGCGCUCUCGUCAGCAGCGCCGCCGUGUCCGAUGACCAUCACCUCGAUGGUGACAGCGUCGCAGCCAUCGGCCCGGGGAAGCGGGUCGUUGUAGAUCAUGACGUCGGUGGGGAAGGUGUCGAGUGAGACCGUGUCGGAGUCGACAGGCAUCGGGUCGGUGGAGCCAACCGACUCCAAAUCCAUAGCAGGCUCGCCGGAGACAUGGAGCUGGCCGAGGAGGUUGACGAGGUGGUCGGUGCCCGUGUCGGAGGCGAGCUCGUCGGAGAUGAGGGUCUUGUCGAGGAGAUCGGCGAAGCCGCUCGCUGCGCAGAUGCUGGUGACGCCUUGCAGCGCGUCGUGGCAAGCACCAUCGGGCGUGCCGGGCUGGCUACGCUCGCGGGGGAGGAAGAAGGUUCCCGUCCAGAACAGGUCUUCGGACGACGGUGCACCUGGCACCACGGUGGGCGCCAAAUGUCGGGUGGUAGGUGCGACAUAUGCCAACGGGUGGCUUAUCAUUGUGGGAGCUAGUAAGACGUCGCCGGUGCCUGGAAGCGGGAUGAGGCGAAGACAUGCACACCGGCGAAUCUUACUCAGCUUCGGGGCUCUCCGUGGAGAGAACACCCCUACUGCUGCUCUGCGGGGUCUCCGCAUGAUCACUAGAUGAACAAGUAGCUACACGAUGCUCCUUGAGCUAUUUGGCGAGAGGAGGAAGAAGGGCUCUACCCGCUCUCUUCUCCUCCCUAUGUGGUGUUUAAAACUAGCAGGGAUCAACCCUUUGCAUGGGUGUCCCGGGGGGUUUAUAUAGGCCCACCCCCCGGGGAUACAAAGGUAAUCCGGCUGGGUGCGGGGCCCAGCCGUCUGUGUCUACACUAGCCGGCUUCUGCGCUGGCUGCUGGGGCCCGCCGGCUGUCGGCUCCUUGGUCGACAGGCAGGCCCCAGUGUCCAGGGCCUUGUCGGCGGCUGGUUACUGUUGCUCAAUCCUAGUGACGAAGGCUUCGCCGGGGUGGGCGUGGCUACAGUGCCGCCGUCCGGCGGGUGAUCGCUGUAGCCUCACCGCUUCUUGUCUCCUUAAUGGGGCGUCCCCUUCGAGGGGAUGGCAAACCAGCUGUGGGGAGCUAGCUCUGUCUUGGGCCGACUGGGGGAGGCCGGGCCGCCUUCGGGUGUCUCUCUGCCUGAAGGGGCCCAUCGCCCGUGGGCCACUCUGGCGGCCCAUCGUGGAUGACAUCAGGGUCAUCGUGGCAACAGUGCCGCACCCGACGGGUCAUGGCCACCCGUACGGCGCACUGUGCCAGGCGUGCUCCGGGAUUCGGGGGUGGCAAGCUUUACUAUAGCCACGCCCCAUCACAUCACCGUCAUGUGGGUGCAGACUUCGAGGGUACGAUCUUCACCACUUUAUGGGAGCCGGCUUCUUGGAGUCGGCCUUCUUGGAGCCGGCUCCUCGGAGCCGGCCCUCCUGCGACUUUUUUCAUGAAGGCUGAAGUCGGGCCGCCUUCCGAUAGUCGGCCUGGGAAACAGCCGGCGAGGGGAAGGCGGCCCCAUGUCUUGGAUUCUUGAGGGCCGGAUGGGCUCGUAAUAAUUUUUUCAGAAGGGCCAGGGGGAUCCGGCUUGGCUACCCAUGGUUAUUUCCUCCGACAAAAGAUGUCAUGCAAGAUCUUUUCCAUAAGCAUGGAUGGCUAUAUUCGGAAUACAUGCCUACAUUACAUUGAUGAACUAGAGCUAGUUCUGUGUCACCCUAGGUUAUGAUUGUUACAUGAUCGAUCGCAUCCGGCAUAAUUCUCCAUCACCAAUCCAAUGCCUGCGAGCUUUCCAUAUAUUGUUCUUCGCUUAUUUACUUUUCCAUUGCUAUUGUUACCAUCACUAUAAAACACCAAAAAUAUUACUUUUGCUACCAUUACCACUACUAUCAUAUUACUUUGCUACUAAAUACUUUGCUGCAGAUAUUAAGUUAUCCAGGUGUGGUUGAAUUGACAACUCAACUGCUAAUAUUUGAGAAUAUUCUUUGGCUCCCCUUGUGUCGAAUCAAUAAAUUUGGGAUGAAUACUCUACCCUCGAAAACUGUUGCGAUCCCCUAUACUUGUGGGUUAUCAAGACUAUUUUCUUUCGCCGUUGCCGGGGAGCGUAGCUCUAUUCUUUGAGUCACUUGGGAUUUAUAUCUGCUUAUCACUAUGAAGAACUUGAAAGAUCCAAGAACCAAGAUUUAUCCCUCAACUACGAGGGGAGGUAAGGAACUGCCAUCUAGCUCUGCACUUGAUUCACCUUAUGUUUUGAGUAAACUUGUGACACCUAAACCUGCUUCUGCUAUUAAUUCUGAUAUGUCGCAUGUUAUUGAGGAUGCCACUUCUGCUAUGCAUGAUACUUAUGACGAAACUACUUCUAUGCUUGAUACUACUAUGCCACUUGGUGAAUUUCUUGAUGAACAACUUGCUAGGGCUAGAGAGAAUGAAAUUAUUGAAACUGAUAAUAUUGAUGAAAGUGAUGAUGAAGAUUCUCCCCCUAGAUAUGAAUUUCCUGUUGUUCCUAAAGGUUAUGUUAUGGAUGAAGAAACUGCUAGAGACUUUCUUGCUUGCAAUGAUAGGAGUGAUCUUAAGAAACUAUUAGCUAAGCUGAAACAAAAAUCUUUGAAUGCUAGAAUGAAAUAUGAUCCUGCUUAUGCUACUUCACCUAUUUUUGUUACUGAUAAGGAUUAUGAAUUCUCUGUUGAUCCUGAGUUAAUCACUUUGGUUGAAUAUGAUCCUUUCUAUGGCUAUGAAUCUAAAACUGUUGUGGCACAUCUUACUAAAUUAAAUGAUAUAGCUACCCUGUUUACUAAUGAUGAGAAAACCCGCUAAUAUUAUAUCCUUAAAUUAUUUCCGUUCUCAUUAAAGGGCGAUGCUAAGAUAUGGUUUAAUUCUCUUGAUCCUGGUUGUGUGUGUAGUCCCCAGGAUAUGAUUUAUUAUUUCUCUGCUAAAUAUUUCCAUGCUCAUAAGAAACAAGCUGCUUUAAGGGAAAUAUAUAAUUUUGUGCAAAUUUAAGAAGAGAGUCUCCCACAAGCUUGGGGGAGGCUUCUCCAAUUACUUAAUGCUUUGCCUGAUCAUCCUCUCAAGAAGAAUGAAAUACUUGAUAUCUUUUAUAAUGGACCAACCGAUGCUUCCAGAGACCACCUGGAUAGUUGUGCUGGUUGUGUUUUUAGGGAAAGAACUGUUGAUGAAGCUGAAAUUCUAUUGAAUAAUAUGUUGACUAAUGAAAAUAAUUGGACACUUCCUGAUCCAAUCCCUGAUCCAAUUCCUGAGCCAACUCCGAAGAAAAGGGGUAUUCUAUUUCUCAGUCCUAAAGAUAUGCAAGAGGCAAAGAAAUCUAUGAAAGAAAAAGGUAUUAAAGCUGAAGAUGUUAAGAAUUUACCUCCUAUUGAAGAAAUACAUGGUCUUAAUUUGCCGCCUGUUGAAGAAAUAUAUGGUCUUGAUAACCCGACACAGGUAGUAAAGGUAAAUUCUCUAUAUAGAUAUGAUAAAGCUGAAAUCCCUCCUACUAAGUUUGCUAGCCAAUGUUUGGAUGAGUUUGAUAACUUUAUGGUUAAGCAAGAAGAUUUUAAUGCUUAUGUUGGUAGACAAUUGAAACAUAAUGCUUAUAUGAUUGAAUACUUGAGUGAUUAUAUGGAUAAUGUUAAAGGUGAACUAAAACUUAUUAGUAAACAUGCUUCUAUGGUUACCACUCAAGUAGAACAAGUACUUAAGGCUCAGAAUGAUUUGCUCAAUGAAUUAAAUAAUAGGAAUGAUAAUGAUGUUAGAGUUAUGACUAGAGGUGGUAAAAUGACUCAGGAACCUUUGUAUCCCGAGGGCCAUCCUAAGAGAAUUGAGCAAGAUUCUCAGAGAACUAAUGUAGAUGCACCUGGUCCUUCUAAGAGGAAGAAAAAGAAAAAUGAUAGGACUUUGCAUGCUUCUAGUGAACCUGUUGUUGACACACCUGAGAAUCCCAAUGAUAUUUCUAUUUCUGAUGCUGAAACACAAUCUGGUAAUGAACAUGAACCUAGUGAUAAUGUUAAUAAUGAUGUUCAUGUUGAUGCUCAACCUAGUAAUGAUAAUGAUGUAGAGAUUGAACCUGUUGUUGAUCUUGAUAACCCACAAUCAAUGAAUCAACGUUAUGAUAAGAGAGAUUUCGUUGCUAGGAAGCACGGUAAAGAAAGAGAACCAUGGGUUCAGAAACCCAUGCCCUUUCCUCCUAAAUCAUCCAAGAAAAAGGAUGAUGAGGAUUUUGAGCGCUUUGCUGAAAUGAUUAGACCUAUCUUUUUGCGUAUGCGUUUGACUGAUAUGCUUAAAAUGAAUCCUUAUGCUAAGUACAUGAAAGAUAUUGUUACUAAUAAGGGAAAGAUUCCGGAAGCUGAAAUUUCCACCAUGCUUGCUAAUUAUACUUUUAAGGGUGGAAUACCAAAGAAACUUGGAGAUCCAGGAGUACCAACUAUACCAUGCUCCAUUAAAAGAAACUAUGUUAAAACUGCUUUAUGUGAUCUUGGAGCCGGUGUUAGUGUUAUGCCUCUCUCUUUAUAUCGUAGACUUGAUUUCAAUAAGUUGACACCUACUGAAAUAUCUUUGCAAAUGGCUGACAAAUCAACUGCUAUACCUGUUGGUAUUUGUGAGGAUCUACCUGUUGUGGUUGCAAACAUUACUAUUUUAAUGGACUUUGUUAUUCUUGAUAUUCCCGAGGACGAUAGUAUGUCUAUUAUUCUUGGAAGACCCUUUUUUAAUACUGCAGUGGCUGUUAUUGAUUGCACCAAAGGCAAUGUCACUUUUCAUGUUAAUGGUAAUGAGCAUGUGGUACACUUUCCGAGGAAACAACCUCAAGUUCAUAGUAUCAAUUCUAUUGGGAAAAUUCCAUCGAUUAUUUUUGGAGGUUUUGAGUUUCCUCUACCUACUGUCAAGAAGAAAUAUGAUAUUCUUAUUGUUGGGGACAUGCAUAUCCCCAUUGAGGUAACUUAGUGUUAUUCGAAAUUUCUCCGGCUCCAUGUUAUUUAGAAUGAGUUUGUUAACAAGACUUGAUCAACCUUGUUAGUGGAUUCCUUUUGAUGAGCAUGAGAUGGAUGAAGUUAGAAAGCACAACUCUCUGUACCCUCUUUUUACUUUCUAUUAUUUAUGUUAAAUAAAGAAAAAAUAGUAUAUUCUGUCUAUUUUCUGAAUUAUCCACGCAAUAAAAAAUACCCCGAAAAUAAAAGUUCUCCAAAUGCCCUGAAAAUUUAAUAUGUUUUUUAGAAUAUUUGAGAAUAUCUGGCACUGAGAACACAGCAGGGGGAGCAAGCACCUGGCCACGAGGGUCCAGGGCGCGCCCACCCCCCUUGACGCACCCCCUGCCUCAUGGGCCCAUGGUGGCUCCCCUCCACUUAUUCCAGCUACCACACACUCCUUCCUCCUCCCACAAAAAUCACCAACCAGCUCAAACCCGAGUCCAAGCUCAUCUUGCUGCCAUUUUUGAUCUCCUUGCUCAAAGCUCCAUUCACAAAAGUGCUUUGGGGGAUUGUUCUUUGGUAUGUGACUCCUCCAAUGGUCCAAUUAGUUUUUGUUGUAGUGCUUUAUUCAUUGCAAAUUUUUGCUGCUUAGGUGACCCUGUUCUUGAGCUUGCAUAUCAAAUUUAUAUGGUCAAAAAUAGUUUAAUUGCAUGAUAUAUCCUCUAGGCACUUGUGGGAGUAGUUGCUAUCAAUUUUGUUGAGGUUCACUUUUAUUUUGAAGUUACUAAAAAUUUCAGAAAUUUUUCAGAGGAAGAAAUAUGUUUAGGAAAAUGUACCAAGGUGGUCCUUCAAGGAAGCAAGGACCCAUGCUCGUAAUACGCGAUGCCGACGAUGAACCACCGAGGGAAGCUCAGGUGCGGGCUUGUGAAUGGCCAUCAGAGGACUUUAUGGAUUGAUCAGGAAUCAAGGAAGAAUUUAACGCGUAUGUGCGUAAUGCCGAUCUUGAGAGCUUCGAGGCAGAUAAGUGCCGCCAAUACCACUAUCUCACUGAUUCCUUUCUGAGAAGGUUUGAAUUUUCAUCGUCACAUAAUUCUCAAACUGUCCUGUUUGAUCUUUAUGAAAAUUCUUAUACUACGGACUUAGAGGAUUUUAAUACUGCUUGCAAACUUCCACAAUGGGGUAGCACUAGUGAGCCUCGCAAAUCUGAGUUUAGAGAUUUUCUUGCUAGUAUAACUGUGGGGGAAUCUAGAGAUACAACACAAGCUUCCAUAGGGAGCAUUCAUUUUCCUGCUAUACAUUAUUUUGCUCUCUUCAUAGGUAGGUGCAUAAAUGGUAAGGAUGAAGCAUGUCACAUGUGUGUCCCUGACCUCAGUGUUCUCAGGAGUGCUGUAUUAGGAGAUAAACAUUAUAACUUGGGGGCCAUUGUUGCAUGUAGGUUGCAUAAUAAUAGAUUUAAUGGAGAUUUCUUUGGUGGAAUUUAUGCAACCUGUCUAGCUAAUUUUCUUGAUAUACCCAUACGUGGCUAUGAUAUUGAGUUGCCUCCUAUUUAUUUAGAUUAUAAGGCUAUGGUUCAUCAUCAGUUUGUUGAGAGGAACAAUCAGUUUCUCCAGUACCGACUAAUCUUUGACAGACGACGCACCUAUCACAUCGCUCUCCCUGCCCCUGCUUUCUUUGACUCGCAGGCAAAAGGGAGAUAUGUUAUAACCAGGGAGGAGGCAGACGAGUAUAAGAGGAGGACGGAGACGGCCUGUCUCCAAGCGGCAGCUCAUGAGGCAAUAGCUGCUGCAUCACAGUACGACCCCAAGUACAACUUUCAAUAUCCGCCAGGCCAGCCGUGGCCAUAGACCAACUUAGGCCAAAAGCCUAAGCUUGGGGGAGUACGUAUUUCUCACCGACAUUACAUUCAUGUACACACACUCAUUGCUAGUUGUUGGUGCUCAUACUUUUUCAUUGUAUCAUCCAUGCUAGUUUAUUUUCCUUUUUAUGCUUUCUACUUGUGUGUUCAAUAAACCUUAAGAAAAAACAAAAAAAA